AAGCCAAUACUUCUGCUGCUUAACCACUUGAGUAGAGGAAGACGGAGUAACAUCUCUGGCACGCUUCCUGGAAGCAACACACCUCAUCUGAGCAGCCUCUUGCUUCAGUGCCAUGUUGUAGAACUCAUCGUAUCUCAACGGCUCAAAGAGGAAAAGAGCGAGCUGAAUUUCCUCACGAAGACCACCCCUGAACUGAUAGAUCAUGCUCUUCUCAUCAGGAACAUCCUGCUUGGCAAAACGGGCGAGCUUCUGGAACAACUUGUUGUAGUCAUAGACAGACAAAGAGCCUUGCUUCAGAUUGCGGAAUUCCUGACGCUUACUCUCAACCACACUUUGAGGGAUGUGAUGAGCGCGGAAAUCUUGACGGAAAUUGUCCCAAGUGAUCAGACGUCCACCUCUGGAAUCCUUGUACUGCUGGAACCACUCUGCAGCCUGAUCUUUGAGCUGGAAAGAAGCGAACUUGACGAAAUCUUCAGGCCUGACGUUGCUGCAUUCAAAAUGCUUGCCCAGAUCCACUAGCCAAUCGUCAGCAUCGGUAGCCUCAACACAACCGCUGAACGUCUUUGGGCCAUUUGCGAGGAACUGGUUCAGAGUAGCAAAGUGGUGCUGAUUAUGGCCUUGAUUCCCUUGACUGCCUUGAUUGCGCUCUUGGAGAAUUUGCAUGAUCAACUGUGUGUUUGCGUUAGUAGUGGCCAUCACAGCUUGCCAUGCUUCUGGAGGAGGCGGAGGUGGAGGCGGAUCAGGAUUCGGAGUCGUGCGCGUUGGAGGAGCCAUCCUGAAGAGGUUGACCACCAUUAGCACAUUGAUAGACAACAAUAUAGAAGCUGAAUCCAACGGAAUGAAAAUUGCAACAUAUAGUCUUCACAUCCGAACAAAAUGAACGAAUGCAUUCCUCUUCAAAUGGUCACAUAUCCAUAAAUUGAGAAGCCACGUAGAAUUAAGGUAGAGAAAUAAAUCAACAAGGUACGGAUCAAGAACGAAUAAUCGGUAAGAAAUCCCAAUCUCAAACCAAUAUCCGUGGAAGAAGAACUAGAGCUACUAGAAUUCCCACCUAUGAAACUCCCGAACCUUUCCGGUUAUGCAAUCAGGUGUUGGGGAUACAGGGGAAGCAUAAUAUCUCACCCAAACUAGCAAAUCCUACAUCCAGCUGUAUCCAUCCUUCAACACAUAACCAAGAAAACUUCGGAAACCAUCUACCUCAACCUUCGAAAAGCAUCCAUUAUACAAGUUAUGGCGAUACUCCCGAACUCCCGCCCCAGUACUGGGUGGCGUCGAGGUUAUCUCACCAACGAACUGCAUAAAAGAGAUUUCCGAUGUCGCACACAUAUCUCAAGUAUACCAGAAUUGCAACGAUAAAAUUGUGACGACAACACCUCGGAGCUCAACUCCCCGGGACACUGCCACAACCCCUAAAGACAGGAGGCACCAAGAACAAUGUUCUCGUCACAAAACCAUCGGAACAAAUCCAAAAUACUCGCGUGAUCCUAAAAAUUUUUUUGUGAAAUUUGAGAAGAGAAGAGUCAAAACUCUACGUCAGGAUGCCUUACCAGAGCGAUGAGGAGACUGGGAAGUAAAAAGAAUUCCUAAGCUCUCCGAUAUAUAAUUCCUAAGGACUCAAAACAUUUUUCUAGACACAACUCGGCUGCUAAAAAUGAUCAAGCAAUGGGGGCUCCUAAGGUCGGGGAUGGCUCUGAUUACCAACUUGUAACGCCCUCGAUGCGGCUAUAGCUCCCACGUGUCGAGGCACGACUUAGAGGCAUAACCACAUUGAAAGCAAUGUCGCAAGUCAGGCAAUCAUUACAACAUCCCAUGUAAUAUAUAAUAAAAGGGGGAGAUAACAUAGUUGGCUUACACUCGCCACGUCACAUCAGAGUACAUAAAUAACAUCCAUCAAACAAACACUCAUGGCCCGACUACGGCGCCAAAAUAGAAAAGAACCCAACGUGCGACAAGGUCCUGAAUCGAUAACCCCAACUAGGCACCACUACUGAUCAUCCGGAAAAGACACAUAGUAUCGCUGAGAGUCCUCGUCGAACUCCCACUUGAGCUCGUAAUCGUCAACUGGAGCAGAAACACCUGGACCUGCAUCUGGAGUUGUAGCAUCUGUGAGCCACAGGGACUCAGCAAUCUCACACUCACGCGAUCAAGACUAUGUAAGCUCAUAGGAACGGAUAAGGCAAAAUAUGUGGAGCUGCAGCAAGCGACUAGCAUAUGUGGUGGCUAACUUAUACGCAAAAGAGAGCGAGAAGAGAAGGCGAAGCACGAGCGAGAAGCUAAAGGAACAUCCUGCGCAAGCAUAACUCCAACACUGUGUCCACUUCCCGGACUCCGCCGAGAAGGGGCCAUCACGGUAACACACACGGUUGAUUCAUUUUAAUUAAGUUUAAUUCAAGUAAUCUACAACCGGACAUUAACAAAUUCCCAUCUGCCCAUAACCGCGGGCACGGCUUUCGAAAGUUCAAUCCCUGCAGGGGGGUCCCAACUUAGCCCAUGACAAGCUCUCACGGUCAAUGAAGGAAUAGACCUCCACCCGAGACACACCGAUCAGACUCGGCAACCCGGUACAACAAGACAAUUCGACAGGUUAAAACAAGACCAGCAACACCGCCCGAAUGUGCCGACAAAUCCCGAUAGGAGCUGCACAUAUCUCUUUCUCAGGGCACACUCAGAUGAGCGCUCCAUACAACUAAAACCAAACCUCGAGUUUCCCCGAGGGGGCGCUGCACAGGACUCUAGUUUGGACCAACGCUCAGAGGAGCACUGGCCCGGGAGGGGUUAAAAUAAGAUGACCUUCGGGCUCCGAAAACCCAAGGGAAAAAGAGGCUAGGUGGCAAAUGGUAAAACCAAUGUUGGGCAUUGCUGGAAAAGCUUUCAUCAAGGUGAACUAUCAAGGGGUUCCCAUUAUAACCCAACCGCGUAAGGGACGCAACAAUCCGGGAACAUAACACCGAUAUGACGGAAACUAGGGCGGCAAGAGUGGAACAAAACACUAGGCGAGAGGCUGAGCCUUCCACCCUUUACCAAGUAUAUAGAUGCAUUAAGACAGCAUAGCAACAUAAUGAUAUCCCAACAAGAAAAUAAAUGUUCCAACAAGGAACGGCUCCAAUCUUCACCUGCAACUAACAACGCUAUAAGAAGGGCUGAGCAAAGCGGUAACAUAGCCAAUCAACGGUUUGCUAGGACAAUGGUGGGUUAGAGGAUCAACAUGGCAAUUGGGAGGCUGACAAGCAAAAGGUAGGCAUCGUAGCAGUGGCAAAGCAAAAGAGCGAGCAAACUAGCAUAGCAAAGAUAGUAGUGAUUUCGAGGGUAUGAUCAUCUUGCCUGCACAGUUGUCAGAGUUGACUGGAUCCUCGCAAGCAAACUCAACGGGCUCCUCGGUAGCGAACUCGUCUCCCGACUCUACCCAACAAGACAAACAAGCAACAAGGAUACAAUCAACCACGGGCAAGACCAAGCAAUAUGAUGAAAUGACGAUAUGCUAUGCGGGAUGCGAUGCGGGAUGCAAAAAGCAAGAUAUGACAGGAAAUGCAUGAACCUGGCAUCAACUUGGAAAACCAAGUGUGCCACUGGAUAUAGGGGAUGAAAUCGCUUGAAAACGAUAUAAAGAUCAUUGGAAUCGGAGCUACGGUUUGGAAAUGGCAAGCGUUUUAAGAUAUGACACCGGUCUGCGAUUUACAGCAAGUAGGCAUCUAAAUGCAACAAAAUGAACAUGCUACAACCACCAAACAUGAAAACAAAAUACAUGGCAGUGAUGUACACAAGAUGGUUGACAAAACACUAGCACUGAGCCAUAGGCAAAUUCAUCCAUUAAGAGGUUCAAACAAGCAUGGCUAAAACGCAAAUGCAAAACAGAUUCCAGACUUAGUGAAAUUAACACUAGUCUGAAAUUUCAGAUCACGAUGCUCUCUUCGGAGCAGCAAAACAACAUGAUAGAAAACCUGAACAUGACAAGUAAGAACAUGGCAUGGAGCUACUCAACAAGCUUAACAAAACACCCAAAGUGACCUGGGGCCAAAAGGGUUCACAAAAUACUCUACCGAGCUCACGAACAUAGCUCGAACACAAUCAGUUUUCAGACUUAGUGAAAACUGAGACAUGCUGAAAUUUAACUCACGAAGGCAUGUAAACGAGCUCGAUGCACUCACUACGGUGCAAGUCAUGGCAAGGAAAGCAUAUAACCAGCAAGAAGGCACAAUGUGCUAGCUACACAUGGCAAGAACGAAGGCAUAGCAUGCAUGGAACACUAACGGUAGCAUCGGCAAAAUCGCAAACAAGUUGACGAUCUGCCCAGAUUAACAACGAAGCAAAAGUUGAGCUCGAUUGAGUCAACCUAGAGCACUCCACAUAUGCCAACAAAGACAUGGAUGGAUAGAGCAUAACAUAAAUAUCAAAACUCCCUUACUGAUCAUCCUCAAAAGAGGCACGGAUCACUAGGAAACAAGCUGGACAUAUAGCAUCAUGAACUAAAAUAUCCCAGACUUAGUGAAAAUCACUAAGUCCCUGAAAUCUGCAAUCUCAGGUACCUCUCUUCGCAAGCUUGCACAAGACAACACACACAUCCUAAAAAUGCAUGGGUGGCACCUUUGGAAAGAAGACAAAAUGCUUAACAAUUCAUCCCAAAGGGGCACAGGCAUAUCAUGCACGAAUUAAACAUGGCAAAAAUGACAAAAGUGCAUGAUGAACUAACGGAUCUGCAAUUUAACUUAUGAAGCUUCUUCUAACAGCCUUUUGGGCAUCAAGAUGACCUCAAACGCAAAUUAUGCAAUGGAAUGAAAUGAUGUACAUGUCGAGGCGAAGAUUUUGAUAUAUCAUACGCCCAAAACGGAGCUACGGUUGCGAAGAUACAAGCAGUCAAAGAUAGCACGAAAAUUAGGGUUUCGGGGGAGAGAGGUCAACCGAUGCCCAGAUCCAGAUCUGGAUCGGCACGCUUCCCGAGGCGGCGCCGGAGACACUGUAGCAGCCAGAGGAGCUCGUCGCCGGAGCCGGUGGAGGAGGGGAGGCCGGCGAGGCGGCGGGGAGAAGCCGGGGUGGCGCCGGGGAAGACCGGUGGUGGCGCCCGGCGGNNNNNNNNNNNNNNNNNNNNNNNNNNNNNNNNNNNNNNNNNNNNNNNNNNNNNNNNNNNNNNNNNNNNNNNNNNNNNNNNNNNNNNNNNNNNNNNNNNNNNNNNNNNNNNNNNNNNNNNNNNNNNNNNNNNNNNNNNNNNNNNNNNNNNNNNNNNNNNNNNNNNNNNNNNNNNNNNNNNNNNNNNNNNNNNNNNNNNNNNNNNNNNNNNNNNNNNNNNNNNNNNNNNNNNNNNNNNNNNNNNNNNNNNNNNNNNNNNNNNNNNNNNNNNNNNNNNNNNNNNNNNNNNNNNNNNNNNNNNNNNNNNNNNNNNNNNNNNNNNNNNNNNNNNNNNNNNNNNNNNNNNNNNNNNNNNNNNNNNNNNNNNNNNNNNNNNNNNNNNNNNNNNNNNNNNNNNNNNNNNNNNNNNNNUCGGGGGCCGGCGCUGGGCCUCGGGCCCGCGUCGGUGGCGGCGGCGAACUGGUCCCGCGGGGACACGUGGCGGCGGCGGGUUGGAUGGCGGCGGCGGGCGGACGUUGUCCGAUCGGAUCCGGACACGUCCUUCGGUGGCGGGGUUGAUCUGUUUUUUUUAACUAGGGUUUCGGACGGGGGAAGAAGAGAUCCGAAUGGAGGGGGUAUAAAUAGGCAUAAGUGGAGCUAGGAGAGUCCAAAUGAAGUGCGGUUUUCUCCCUCACGAUCGUGAUCGAACGCUCUAGGACAUGGAGCAGAGUUUGGUGGGUUUCGACCAAAUUUGGAGGGGUGUUGGGCUGCAACACACACGAGGCCUUUUCGGUCCCUCGGUUAACCAUUGGAGUAUCAAACGAAGUCCAAAUGAUACGAAACUUGACAGGCGGUCUACCGGUAGUAAACCAAGGCCGCUUGGCAAGUCUCGGUCCAAUCCGGAAAUGUUUAAUCCCCACACACGAAAGAAAGCUAGAAAUGGCCACCGGAGGAGAACGAAGCGCCGGAAUGCAAAACGGACAACGGGGAAAAUGCUCGAAUGCAUGAGAUGAACAUGUAUGCAAAUGCAAUGCACGUGACGACAUGAUAAGAGAUGCACGAAAAAGAAAAACAACACACGGAGACACAUACCCAAACCCGAGAAAUAAAUAUAACUUAGCGCCGGAGACGGCAAGAGUGGAUACAAAUAUGGAAAGUAUAUCUGGGGCGUUACAGCCACUCGCUGCCGCUGCUACUUGCGGCCGCCUCUGCUGCAUUCUGUCACGCGCUGCUGCUGUUUUCCGCCGCGUACCGCUGAUGCGUGCCGGCGCCGCCAACAGACGGAGAUGGGGAAUUUAUGAAUUUCCUUUUCUUAUCAUUGGUAAUUUUAAUGACACUGGCAUGUGGGCCCUAUGUGUAAAUUAAGAGUCAAACCUACAGUCAAACAAACGGUUCACUUGUGGGUGAUAGCUUUUCAAAAGAUUAAAAAAGUGGUAGUUUUCUUAUAGACAUGGCCUGUAAUGUGGUAGUUUUUUUGCUAUUUACUCCACUUGACUAAGGGUGGAAGGCUUAGGCCUAUGCCCCAGCAUUUUGUUCCACCGUGGUCACCCUAGUUUUUGUAAUACUACUGGCAAUUAUGUUCCUUGAUGAGCGCAUCGAAAUGUGUAUGGGGUUUUAUGCCCCCCUAGAAUCCCUUUAUCUAACAUUGAACUCUUUCAGAAGGCCCAACUUUGGUACUAAAAUUUGCCAACUUAACUAAAAUUUGCAUAGGAGUCAUGAAUGUUAGGAUUCUUUUCGUAACAAGCAGGUGGGCUACUGCUGAGGGUGCUGGUCCAAAAUGGCGGCUUGUACUGCCACCACCUAGAGAACUCGAGGUUUGGCUAUUGUAUCCCUUUCCCAUCCAGCUAGUCUGGAUUUAGAGAUACGUUGGCUCUAAUUCGGGUUUGACUCACUGGAAGGCCUUUCUGGAUUAGUUUUACAUUAGCUAGAGGAACUUGUACUUUGAACUCCUAGAACGAAUCUAGGGUGCCAUGGCCCUGAACUUGGAGGAACGGGUAUGCAUGCAGAACUUAUAAUGAGAAGUUGGAAGCACCCAUGGAGGGUUAAAUGUUUCGAAAAGAUGUGUCCGCGACUAUGGUUACAUGGAAAUUUAUAAUGUCGGUUGAAGAGAACUUCAACUAAUAACUAAAACUUGACAACUAUGUGCAUACCAUGAUUGUCUUUUCUUGUGGGAAUGGAAGCAAGAAGAGGACACAAUGAGGUUUCAUACGUCUCCAAUGUACCUUUGAUCUUUUAUGGUUCCAAGCUAUUAUAUUAUCAAUCUUGGAUGUUUUAUAUGCAUUUAUAUGCUAUUUUAUAUCAUUUUUGGGACUAAUAUAUUAACCUAGUGCCUAGUGCCAGUUGUCGUUUUUGCUUGUUUUUUGGCUUUUUAGAAAAUCAUUAUCAAACGAAGUCCACACGGAAAAACAAUCUUUGGAUUAAUUUUUUGUGGACCAGAACGGACCCUCAAAGCUUCGGGAGGAGACCAGAUGAGACAUGAGAGAGCCACAAGCUCGAGGGGCGUGCCCUAGGGGGUAGGCGCCCCCUGAGCUUGUGGGCCCCACACAGCUCCGUUUGACCCAACUUCGCUUCUAUAAAUUCCCAAAUCUUCCCAAAACAACAGAGAGCCACCCAAAACACGUUUUUCACCGUCGCAAGCUUCUAUUCCUCCGUGAUCCCAUCCAGAGGUGUUUUCUGAUACUCUGCUGGAGGGGGAAUCAAUCUUGGAGGGCGUCUACAUGAUCCUUGCUUCCUUCCGAUGAUGCAUGAGUAGUUCACCAUAGACUUACUGGUCCAUAGCUAGUAGCUAGAAGGCUUCUUCUCUCUCUUUGACCUUCAAUAUAAUGUUCUUCUCGAUGUUCUUGGAGUUCUAUUCGAUGUAAUCUUCUUUUGCAGUGUGUUUGUUGGGAUCCGAUGAAUUGUGGUUUAUGAUCUAAAUAUUCAUGAGAAGUAAUUGAGUCUUUUUUAAACUUUAUUAUGCAUGAAUGUUGUAGCUUUGUAUUUCUCUCCGAUCUAUCCGUUUGGUUUGGCCAACUAGAUUGAUUUAUCUUCAGUGGGAGAGUUGCUUUGUGAUGGGUUCAAUCUUGCGGUGCUCUAUCCCAGUGACAGAAAGGGACAGUGCAUAUUUGUAUUGUUGCUAUUAAGGAUAAAAUGAUCGGGUUUAUUCACAUUAGUUGGGUUUACUUUGUCUACAUCAUGUCAUCUUGCUUAAGGUGUUACUCCAUUUUUCAUGAACUUAAUACCAUAGAUGCAUGCUGGAUAGCGGUCGAUCGGUGGAGUAAUAGUAGUAGAUGCAGGAAGGAGUCGGUCUACUUGUCUCGGACAUCAUGCCUAUAUACAUGAUCAUUGCCUUGGAUAUCGUCAUAAUUAUGCACUUCUCUAUCAAUUGCCUAACAGUAUGUUGUUCACCCACCGUAUGCUAUGUGUUCGAGAUAGAAGCCUCUAAUGAAAACUAUGGCCCCGGGUCUACCUUUAUCAUAUUUGAAAAACCAAAUUACCUUUGCCGCAAAUUUUUAUCUUUUAUUUUGUUUUGCAGUUUACCUAUCUACUAUUACAAGAUUUGAUCCUUGAAAGUAACGAGUUCAAGGGGAUUGAUAACUCUCUUGCCCGCGUUGGGUUCAAGUAUUUGCUUUUAUGUGUGUGCAGGUGUUGUUCACGAGGCUUUGUGUGAUUCUCCUAUUGGUUCGAUAAACCUUGGUUCUCACUAAGGGGAAUACUUAUCUCUACUGUAUUGCAUCUCCCUCCUCCUCAGGGAAAAUUCCAACGCGGCUCACAAGUAGCAAGAAGAAUUUCUGGCGCCGUUGCCGGGGAGACAUCAUCAAAACCUAUCAAGUAUCUAGACAUCAUCUACUUUUUAUUUGCCUUUGCCUCUCAUUUUCAUCUCCCCCACUUCUCAUAAAAAUACAAAAACAUGAAAAUAUUUUUAUUUGCUUGCUUGAAGUUGCUACCGUCUCUAAAUUUGUUAUUGCUAAGGGUUAAAGUGAGGAUAGUAAAACUCCCAAGAUGGAAACCCCCGUAAAAUUGGAUACUAAAACUUUUGUGAUGGGGAGUUGGAAUAUCAUAGGAAAAAUUAUUAUUCAAGAGUUCUUCACUUGUAUGGGAACAUUUGUUUGUAAUGAUAUUCAUGUUCUUAAAAGAACAAUAGUCAUGCCCAAGCUAUUUCUGCACUCAUUACUAAACUUGAAAGAAGAUUCCUGCAUACUCAUCCUACUUUGCAAAUAUUUUUUUGAGCUGCCUGUCAUAAACAAUCCUAAGGGUAAAAAUAUAACCACUCUUAUUCUCAUGAAUGAAUUCGACUACAUAGUGCGACAAACUAGAGAAAUCUUUGACUUUUAUAAUGUGAAUUAUGAAUGUCCUAUGAUAGAUGAAAUUUUAUAUGAUAGAGAUUUCAUGAGGAGAUAUAUGUCUCGUGAUCCUCAUGCUUUUGAGGAAAUGCUAAAAAGAAAGUUCCUCCUUUACAUUUAAUCCAACAAGUGUUUAAUGGCAUUAAUCAACAAUAUUCUUGGAUCAUAAAAAGGGAAUCAACAAGGUUUUGAAGAAGAGUGUCUUGAUAAUGCUAGGAUCUUAAUAGAUGAUGAAUUCACCAUUACUUAUGAAAUGUCCCUUGAGGAUCAUGUCUCCUAAGAAGUUAAAAUUGAUGAUGUGUCGAUUACUAAAGAUAGCCUGAUCCACCAUUUGAGUUAUCCAAAUAGGAAGGCUAUGUAUGAAAAAGGGAGCUUGUGAGAAGUGUUUAUGAUGAUGCUAUGUAUAAGGAGAUUAUGAAAGCUAAGGAUGACAAUACUUGAAACAAUGCUUUACGCCUAGCUAGGGGUGUAAAACAAUCGCGCUUGUUAGGACGCAACCCAAUAGUUAUCUCAUUUCUUGUUUUCUUUUCUGUUUUUGAGUGUUCACACAAGUAUGCUACUUUUAUGAUUGUGUUUUAUGUUUUAAUCAGUGUUUGUGCCAAGUAAAGCCUUUUUGAUGUGACACCAUCUCCGGAGAAGAGGGUGUACAAGGGUAGGUCCGAUCUUCACGGUGUAGGAUCGAUAAUGGAUGGGGAUAACUAGCUGCAAGCAACCGAAAAUAGAAAAUAAGAGAUUAUGACCCAAUGAGGAGGAUGCUCAUCGAAGCCUGCAAUCUGAACAUUCUCCAAUCCACAACCCGCAAUACUACCCCACACAACCAUGCUUAAGUCGUGGAGCACGGGAUAUGUGCAAUCUGCAAGGGAAACCACGAACUAUAACCCACACAACAUGAUCUAGUCAUGGCGCACGAAUUAGGAUCUAUUUCUCAAGGAAUCACGAGAAUAAGGAUAACAAGAGCUCUUCAACCUUAGGAGGAGUCUAUGUCUUUGGUCUUCGAUAGAAAUGGCAAAAGUCCCCAAUGAAGGGAAGAGCUAGCCUAUUUAUAAUCAGGACAACCCCUCUGGAUAGGUGUGAAAGAGAGCCAACUUUGGUUGACUAAAUGGCUUAGAGACUUAGUGAGGUAGCUUCUGGAAAACUCUAGUUGUAGGUGGUUGGCAGCUCCCGACCAAACAUUGUUCACUAGAGUCAAAUAAUGUUUCCUUCAGCAGAAAACUCGAGUUCUGGGAACCUUUCACAACUUGGGAUAUCCAAACUGUUAGAGUUGUAUCGAAUAUUAUUGUACAAGGUAGGUUACAGUUGGACUUGGUUUUGGACUGUGUGUUGACAUGGUAGGAGUUGUGUCCUAAUAGGACACUUUUAUCCUAGGCCUCUCAUAUAUAUCGGGGGUAGACACACGAUGUAACCUAUGCCAACAUAAUAGUAAAGGCACGCGGAGGUGCCGGCGGUGUGUGCCGGCACCUGGGCAGCCAGGGUGCAGUAUUGUAGUGGUAUCAUGGGGAGGAGCGUCCGUAGUCAGGCCCCGGGGAUGUAGCCAUAUCGGUGAACCUCGUUAACAAAUUUUGGUGUCGUGCUCGUGUGAUUGCUUGGUCCUCGAUAGAUCAAUCGUGGCCUCAAAUUUAUUCUAACAAGUGGUAUCAUGAGCAAGGUUCGAUUUGAGGUUGCAUCUAUUGAUCUAGAGGUGGAGAAGAAUUCAUCAAAUUGAUCGGUGGUUGAGCGGUGCGCCAGGAAAGAUCGAUAGAACAUCGGGAGUUCUACUCGUAUCAAAAGUAAUCGGAAGAAGCAGGCGGCAGCUUCAUGAGGCACUCGACGAGAUUGGAUCGUGUUGCACCAGUCACACAUGCAGCCGAAGGCGAGCAGCGGAAGAUCGCGCUUAUGGCGGCAGUUGCAUACAAAUGGAUGGAUAGAUCGAUCAGAAAUGUGAGGCGGCUGAUCUACUCUUUUUUGACGGGUAGGCAGCUGAUGUACUCAGAUGCGACGGUGCAAUACACAUGCCUCGUGGGUUGCAGUUGGUGUUGGGGUCCAAGCGCAAGCAGCUGCUGAGGCGUUCGGGCAGUGGCAUGUGGCCCAACACCGGUAGCCAGGAAGGCCGGUUGAAGGCUCAAGGCCGGACCUAGGACUGGGCCGAGGCAUGCCGGGAAGGUGGACAGGAAAAGAUCCAUGAUCACGUGCAGAAGCUACAGACACAAGUUUUGUUGGAAAAAAGGAAGCGUCUAGACUAGUGAUUGCUAGCGUUGGUUGGUGCUAUUCAUCCUGAGCAAGGAGAGGGAGAGGCAAAGUCAAGCAUACAUGGAGACGUGGUGGAGUUUUGGAUCUCUAUGACCUCGUGCAUAUGGAAAGGCUGCUAGAUGGAUUUCCUCAUUGGCUCCCUUUGCUUGGUACACGUACAGAUUAUUACGGGAUGACAGUGGUUGUACACUGCAAUAAAUAAAGACGCGGAGUCGUAGGUUCAGGUGGAGAUUGCCUGGUUCGAUCAGCUACGUGUAAUCAAGUGUUGCAACGGGACGCAGAUGAUAUUUUUACAUCAGGUGACCAUGAAGUUGGGAUAUUGUCAAUGUCGGCAAAACAGAGAACUUUGGAUAAUGGCAUUUGUGGGUAAAUAAUCUGUUGAAGCAACGAGUAUGCUUGAUGGUGUAGCGGGAUGCCAAGUCAAUCAAGAUGGAUCUGCAGUGAAAGGCGACGCGCAUAUAAGGCUCGACGUAGGAGUCUGGAGCCCGUCGUGGCAAGAUCAUGCAUACACAGGGCGUUAAGCAAGGCAUGGAGAUGUGCGGGCGACACGACGUAGGGUGGAGCAUGGUUGUAGUCGGAUAAUUUUGGUUGGGUCGGACUGGACAGUCUGAUGUACCAACAUUGAUGUUGGUCAAAGCAAAAGACGGCGGUGAUUUCAGCAACGACGACAUAUGAGUGUGAUGCUGAUGGUGACCGACUUCUGGGGCGUGGAAACACGUGGUGCAGGCCUAAGGGUUGUGCGGCUUCGACGAGACUAUGGCGCAGGGUUGAUUCAAGGCAAUGUACACAUGAGAGCUUGAAGUUGACAGGGCUAAGGGUAGCAAGGCGUAGCUACAUGGAGUCAUGUUGAAGGUGAAGCUGGAGUCUGGCAAAAGACUUCGCUCUAAGCUGAUGGAGGGGCUACGUCGUAAGGAUCCAGAGAAUCACAGCCUAUUUCAGUGGGAAGGUGAGAGACACGUGGUUUAGACUGGGUACCAGUGGUCUGAUGGAGACUUCAUACUCGACAUCGAUCGGUGAUGAUCGAUGGUUCUCUGUAGUGGGGGUUGAGGCAGUGGGGGCUAGCUACCCGGGAGACUCGACCGGGAUGGCAGAGGCUCAACGUGGUGAUAGCAGCGAGGUGUGUGGUAAGCACGGGACACAACAACAUGCCAAGGCACUGGUGGUCAGACAUGUGGUCAGACAAAUUGUGCAGGGGGUGCUGAAGCAGUGUUGACGAGUAUCAGAUUCAAGUUGGUGACUAGGUCUAUCGGUGCCUGAAGAUGGACAUGAGUUGACCAUGGAGAAUCUGAGAAAGUGGGGGAGAGUCUGAAAUUGUCAAAAGCUGAGAGAGUACAUGGCUGUAUAUUCUGUGAUGUUUGGUGCACAUGGCAAAGUGCGAAUGACAAAUAUAGAAGGAGGCGGAGUGCUAUAGCUGUGGGACAUGCCAAAGACUAUCCGGGAAAAGGGUGAGACAACUAUGAAUUUGACUCAGGGUGACAUAGGGCGACGAUGAAAUUCCUUCAAGUUUCACACAGACGGUCAAGAAAGAGCAGUGAUGUUGAGUUCAGGUAACUCUUAUAUGUGAUGUCCAAUAUGUGAGUUGUUCACUAUUAUUGGUGUGUGAUGGCAUUGAACGGAUUCUCCGGAAGUUGGGAGCAUAAAGUAGAGUAAUGAGGAACUUAUUUUUGCUCGAGUGUUGACUGUGAAGAAGACGAGAAGGGACUAUAGUUGCAGGUGGAGUCACAUGGAGUCUGGAAGUAGUAGCAGUGCUCAUGGCGUAUCUCAAGUCCAAUGUACAUGGAGGUUUGACGCAUGGAUGAAUCCAAGGUGGUGGAGAAUAUUCACCAAGGUGGAUUUUGUUAGAGUUGUGUCGAAUAUUAUUGUACAAGGUAGGUUACAGUUGGACUUGGUUUUGGACUGUGUGUUGAUAGGGUAGGAGUUGUGUCCUAAUAGGACACUUGUAUCCUAGGUCUCUCAUAUAUAUCGGGGGUAGACACACGAUGUAACAUAUGCCAACAUAAUAGCAAAGGCACGCGGGGGUGCCAGGGUGUGUGCCAGCCCUGGGCGGCAGGGGUGUGUUAUUGUAGCGGUAUCAUGGGGAGGAGUGCCCGUAGUCAGGCCUCGGGGGUGUAGCCAUAUCGGUGAACCUCGUUAACAAAUCUCAGUGUCAUGCUUGUGUGAUUGUUUGGUCCUUGGUAGAUCAACGGUGGCCUCGAAUUUAUUCUAACACUAACUCGUGCAAAACAUUGUUUCGUCAGAAUCGGAACAAUGUUUCUUCAACAGACACUCAUUUCUUCAUGAAUUCCUAACUUUGUUUCUUCGCCAUAAAACAUUGUUUUGCACGGACUAAAAUUUGUUUGGCCUUCUUCCACAUCGCACCUGAGUUCAACCAACAACAAAGGAGGUGAAUACACAACCAUGUUUUCAAGGUCAAAUGAUAGACUUAAGUUAGCGUUCACCUGAUCAUGUAUUUGCAUUGCGCGACUUCUUGUGAUUGGACCAUUGAUGAUUGGUGAUGUGGUGCCCAUGUUUGGGAUGUCCUCAUCAUCCUCCCCCUCUUGAGGAGUCGUCCUCGACUCUAAAGUCCCAAAGUAUGGGGAAAGAUCAAAGACAUUGAAGUUUGGGCUAACACCAUAUUCUUCUGGAAGAUUGAUCUUGUAAGCAUUGGCGUUGAUCCUGUAGAGCACCACAAAUGGUCCAUCACCACGUGGUUGCAACUUGCACUUGUGGUGCUCAGGAAAACGGUCUUUCCGAAGGUGUACCCGUACCAAAUCGCCUUGCUCGAACACCAACUUCUUCCUAGUCUUGUUUACUCGCUUUGUAUAUUGUUCGGUCAUUUUCUCAAUGUUCUCCUUUGCCUAGGCAUGAAGUUUCUUGACGAAAUCAGCACGCUUACUUGCAUUAAGGCUGGUUCGUUCGUGUAGUGCAAAGGUAAAAGAUUGAUGGGAGCAAUAGGUUUGAAUCCAUAAACAAGUUCAAAUGGGCAAACUAUAGUGGUUGAAUGUACUGCCCUGUUAUACGCAAACUCCACAUGAGGUAGGCACUCUUCCCACAAUCUUCAAAUUCUUCUUGAGGACUACUCGUAGCAUCAUGGACAAUGUUCGGUUGACAACUUCAGUCUGUCCAUCAGUUUGUGGGUGGCAUGUCGUGGAAAAUAGGAGCUUGGUGCCAAGUUUUCCCCACAAGGUCUUCCAAAAGUAGCUCACAAAUUUGGUGUCACGAUCUGACACAAUUGUGCGUGGUACUCCAUGUAGCCACACAACUUCCCUGAAAAAUAGAUCAACAAUGUAUGAAGCAUCAUUGCUCUUAUGACAUGGGAUAAAAUGUGCCAUUUUGCUAAAACGCUCAACUACCACAAACACCGAGUCACUCCCCCUCUUAGUCCAUGGUAAACCAAGAACAAUAUCCAUAGAAAUAUAUUCCCACGAAUAUUUGGAAUAGAUAGAGGAGUAUAUAAACCAUGAGGAUUCAAGCGGGACUUAGCUUUGUGACAAAUCUCGCAUCUCAUCACGUAGCGUUCCACGUCACCUCUCAUUCGCGGCCAAAAGAAGUGAUCAACGAGCACACUUUCAGUUUUCUUGGCUCCAAAAUGUCCCAUGAGACCACCAGCAUGAGCCUCCUGCAAGAGCAACAAAUGAACAGAACAAUCUGGGAUGCACAAUUGUUAGCUCGAAAUAGAAAUCCAUCAUGCAAGUGAAACUUCUCCCAUCCCUUUCCCUUGUUGCACUUUGAAAAUGGUUCAGCAAAGUAUGAGUCGUUAGCAUACAAUUCUUUAGUGCUUUCUAAUCCAAGGAUUUUAACAUCAAGUUGGGAAAGUAAAAUGUGACGCCUAGACAAUGCGUCGACAACAACGUUAUCCUUCCCUUCCUUGUACUUGACAAUAUAAGGAAAAGACUCUAUGAACUCACUCCAUUUUGCAUCUCUAUGGUUCUGUUUCAGUUGGCCCUUUAGAUGUUUUAAAGAUUCAUGGUCAAAAUGUAUUACAAACUCUUUUGGCCACAAGUAAUGCUGCCAUGUUUCCAAAGAUCGAACAAGAGCAUACAGUUCUUUAUCAUAGACAGGAUAAUUAAGAGUUGGACCAUUAAGCUUCUCACUAAAAUAGGUGAUGGGUUUACCUACUUGCAUUAGAACUCCACCAAUGCCAACACCACUUGGAUCACACUCAAUCUCAAAUGUCUUACCAAAAUUAGGAAGUGAAAGCAAUGGGGCUGAUGUCAAUCUCAUCUUCAGUUCCUGGAAGGACUUGUCUUGGGCAUCAUCCCAUUGGAAUGGAGUGUCUUUGUUCGUUAAAUCAUUCAUUGGUGCAACAAUUGUGCUGAAAUCCUUCACGAACCGACGGUAGAAACCUACAAGUCCGAGGAAGCUACGUACUUGGCUCACAUUGUGUGGAGGCAUCCACUCACGAAUAGCCUUGAUCUUCUCUUCAUCGACCUCCACACCUUUUGCUGAAACAACAAAGCCAAGAAACACAACCUUGUUUGUGCAAAAUGUGCACUUUUCCACGUUAGCAUACAACUUUUCCUCCCGUAGGACAUCAAGCACACAUUUUAUAUGUCCAACAUGAUCCUCCAAAGUUUUGCUACAAAUCAAUAUGUCAUCAAAGUAAACCACUACAAACUGGCCAAUGGAGGAUCUAAGCACAUGAUUCAUCAAUCUCAUGAAAGUACUAGGUGCAUUUGUUAAUCCAAAAGUCAUAACCAACCAUUCAUACAAGCCAAAUUUUGUCUUAAAUGCAAUUUUCCGUUCGUCACCCUCUUUCAUUCUUAUUUGGUGGUAACCACUUCGCAAAUCAAUUUUGGAAAAUAUGGUGGAGCCACAAAGUUCAUCAAGCAUGUCAUCGAGCCUAGGAAUAGGGUGUCGAUAUCUCACAGUUAUGUUGUUAAUGGAUCUACAAUCAGUGCACAUGUGCAUGGUACCGUCUUUCUUUGGAACUAAAAGAAUGGGAACAACACAAGGAAAAAGACUUUCCCUUACAUACCCUUUGUUAAGAAGAUCUUCUACUUGCCUCUGAAUUUCCUUUGUCUCCUCUGGUUUUGCUCGGUACGGUGGUCGGUUCGGUAGUGAGGCGCCUAGAACCUAGUUGAUUUGGUGCUCAAUGCCCCGCUUCGGUGGCAAACCAGGUGGUACCUCCUUGGGAAACACAUCCUCAUACUCCUACAAAGGAUAAAAAACAACACUAGGAAGAGUCGAGGGUAAGUCGUGAGCAGCCAAUAGAGUUUCCUUGUACAUGAGUAUAAAGAAUGGAGUAUUAGGUUCUCUCAAUUCCCACAUAUCUCUUUUCCUAGCCAUCAUAACUAAUCCCUGUUUUUUCGGGGCUUGGUCAUAUUUGGCUGCCAGCUUUUGGCCGUGGAAACACUCCAUCAAUAUGUUGGUGGCUCACUCUUUGUAUAUGAUCACUCUCUCCCUUUUUCUUUCCUUUUCUUUUCAUCUCAUCAAGAUAGACUUCCUCGGGUGUGAUGGGAAGCCAAGUGAACUUUUCUCCUCUAUGGACAAAACAUAAGUGAUUCGCACGCCCGCUAAUUUGCACAUCACGGUCAUGCAACCAUGGUCAUCCAAGAAGCAAGUGACAAUCGUGCAUCGGCACCACAUCGCACUCAACAUCAUCCUGAUAUGUCCCUACUGAAAUUGGUAUUCGCACGCUGUUAAUCACCUUAAUUGCACCACAAUCAUUCAGCCAUUGCAUGCAGUAUGGAUGUGGGUGACGUUUUGUUUGCAAUUGAAGCUUCUCGACCAUCUCUGUGCUUGCAAUAUUGUUGCAGCUGCCACUAUCAACAAUCACUCGACAUAUCUUUGAGCCACUAAGGCAACGGGUGUGGAAAAGAUUAUGCUGCUACCCCUUUUCCUCCUCCACAACCUGGGCAUUAAGUGAACGACAUACAACCAAAGCUUUACCAUCAAGUUCUUCAUGAGAUAAAAUAUUGCCUCCUACUUCCCAACCUUGCUCCUCUUCCACUUCAUCAUUGCUGCCUUCAGGGUCACUUUCAGACUCCCAUUCACCUCGCUCAUUGAUGAUCAUAGUUAUUUUGCUUGGACAUUCCGAAGAAAUGUGACCUCUUCCUUUGCACUUGUGGCAUCGAAUGUCGUUGCUGCAUGUGGAACUCUUUUCUGGAGGUGGAGCGGAGGAUACUCCUGCUGCAGAUGAUGACUUCUUAUCUUGAUUGUGAAUAGCAGGUGAGGAAGCCGUCGAGGUAUGUGGGUGCCUAGGUGUUGCACCCUCAAAUUGAGAAUCAUAUGGCUAUUGUGUUCGUUGCCAUGAGGGGGUGGUGGUGCGGCCUUGGAAAGCAUGAGAUGACCAUUAUGCAUAUUCUUCUUCUCAACUCAUACAGCUUGAUGUACCACAUAUUGUAAUGUAUCAUAUGAAACAUCUCCACAAAAUCUGAUAUUUCAUCAUUUAGCACAUGUAAAGAUCUCACCAUCUUCGCCUCAUCACUUUCACGGGUUCUUGUCCAAAUUAGCAGCACCUCCAUCUCUUUAUAGUACUCCUCGACAGUGCGGGAACCUUGAGUGAGCCCCUGCAACCGCUUGUACAAUUGCCUCUCAUAGUAUGAUGGAACAAAACGGCACCGCAUGACUUCCUUCAUCAAAGUCCAGCUGCGGAUAUGACUAUUGCCCGACAUCAACCGAUCAUCUUGCAGCUGAUUCCACCAUGUAAGAGUAUAACCAAAGAACUCCAUAACAACAAGAUCAACUCUCUUGGCUUCCGAAAAACCAUGGAUGUGAAAGAUUUGAUCACAUUUCUCCUCCCACUCAAUAUAUAUACCUAGAUCCUCUGUCCCCGUGAAGGAUGGCACAUGUAGCUUCACUCUCGCUUGGUUGUCAUGGUCAUCUUGAUCACGUCGGUCGUAAUGAUGACCAUUGUGGCCAAAAACAGCACCACGGCGAGGCGGGGAGUAGGGUUCAUGGUCCCCCAUGCCUUCAUCUUCGUCACCCUACUCGAAGAGAUCUUCAAGGGAGAUGGCAUCACCAUUAUGUGCCGCUCGUCGCCAGUGAUUAGCGGCAAACCCGCGGGGGUCAUGGCAUCGCUCGCGAGCUUCUCCUCCAUGUAGCCUAGCCUCACAGGGGGCAGCAAAAUUCAACACGCCUCCAUUCAGCACCAACAGCAGGGGCGCCGUGGGUAGAAGCUCCUGCCGCUCUUCCACGACCAUCGUGGUGAUCCUCGUUUCCUUGACCUCGACAUUUGUCGGCGGCCAGCGAGGCAUCGGGGCUAUGUUGAUGUUGAUCCCCAUUACCCGCGAGUCUUCCUUCGAACAUCCUUCACAUAGCUGCAGUUAUACUCUCCUCAAUCAUUUCACCAACUGCUGCGUGAGUUUUUGGGAGAUAAUCAUCCACAUGUUGAUGUCCAUGUACACUUGAGUUGGAUCAUGUCAUGCUAACUCUUCGAAACAAGUGGACGAAAGAAAAAUAUAUGUGGAGAACACUCAGCUCACCUUCUUGCUUACCCAAAUUCUAAUGAUUCAUUGGCGGUUGUGUGAUGACAGCAAAACAUGAGUGGACAGGCGAAUGAAAGGAAGGAAGCUGACGGUUUCUAGGUGGACCUGGGUGGGGUAAAAUGAGGAGGGCUAGUGCUAAGAUCCAAUCGAUGCAAACCAAAUGAACAAGAAAAAUUUGCAGAUCCUUGCACCACGUCUGAGCCGCAACACUUGCCACUACAACUUCUGAAAUUUCUCACCAAACUGAAUAUGAUUGCACACUUUCUCAACACUUCUCUUCUAUUUUUUCUUUGCUCUUUUUUCACUCUUUUUUUGCAUUUUUUGCAACACAAUAGAUCCAACAACAAGACUCAAAGAAAAACAACAUUAACUUUGGAUAGAACUUGGUGCAAACACAAAGAGGAAAGCAAACAACUAGAUCUCAACAAAGAAAGGCUUGGAUUUUUUGUGGCUUUUUGGCUUUGGACUCUAGGAUAGGGAAAACCAAACUAAAAAGGAUAGAUAUAGCAACAAGGAUAUAGAUCCUACUGUGUAAACCUUGCUCUGAAUACCAGAUGAUGUGACACCGUCUCCGGAGAAGAGGGUGUACAAGGAGAGCCCCACGCAGCUCCGGUUGACCUAACUCCACUUCUAUAAAUUGUCAAAUGUUCCCAAAACAACAUAGAGCCACCCGAAACACUUUUUCCGCCGCCGCAAGCUUCUAUUUUUCCGCGAUCCCGUCUGGAGGCCUUUUCCGGUACUCUGUCGGAGGGGGAAUCGAUCACGGAGGGCUUGUACAUCAUCCUUGCUGCCUUCCAAUGAUGCAUGAGUAGAUCAGCACAUGCCUGAUGAGGAUAUAGACCUAGGGUAGGGUCAUAGGCCUAACCUACUUACCCUACCCAAGGUCACUACCCUAGAAGCAAAGAAACUCAAGAGAUAACAGGGAGUACCCAAGGAAGACGUCGAGUGACAUCCACUCGACCAAUCAUAUCACUCGGGUAUCCCAAAUUACCGAAGAUCACUCGACCAUACAAGAAACGACUCGACCUAUCAAGACCAGGAGUCAGAUGGAACUAAAAUGGUCGAACAUUCUGUAGGACCUUGAAGUAUGUCUAGAGGGGGGGUGAUUAGACUACUUGACCAAUUAAAAACUUAACCUUUUCCCAAUUUUAGAGUUUGGCAGAUUUUAGCUAUCUUAGGACAAGUCAAGCAAGCAUCACACAAUUCAAGCAAGCAUGCAAAGAGUAUAUAGGCAGCGGAAAUUAAAGCAUGCAACUUGCAAGAAAGUAAAGGGAAGGGUUUGGAGGAUUCAAACGCAAUUGCAGACACAGAUGUUUUUGGCGUGGUUCCGAUAGGUGGUGCUAUCGUACAUCCACGUUGAUGGAGACUUCAACCCACGAAGGGUAACGGUUGCGCGAGUCCACGGAGGGCUCCACCCACGGAGGGUCCGCGAAGAAGCAACCUUGUCUAUCCCACCAUGGCCGUCGCCCACGAAGGACUUGCCUCACUAGCGGUAGAUCUUCACGAAGUAGGCGAUCUCCUUGCCCUUACAAACUCCUUGGUUCAACUCCACAAUCUUGUCGGAGGCUCCCAAGUGACACCUAGACAGUCUAGGAGACACCACUCUCCAAGAAGUAACAAAUGGUGCGUUGAUGAUGAACUCCUUGCUCUUGUGCUUCAAAUGAUAGUCUCCCCAACACUCAACUCUCUCUCAUAGGAUUUGGAUCUGGUGGAAAGAGGAUUCGAGUGGAAAGCAACUUGGGAAGGCUAGAGAUCAAGAUUCAUAUGGUAGGAAUGGAAUAUCUUGGCCUCAACACAUGAGUAGUUGGUUCUCUCUCAGAAAUGGUAAGUUGGAAGUGUAGGUUUAGUCUGAUGGCUCUCUCCACGAAUGAAGAGGAGGUGGAGGGGUAUAUAUAGCCUCCACACAAAAUCUAACCGUUACACACAAUUUACCAAACUCGGUGGGACCGAUUCAACAGACUCGGUCAGACCGAUUUAGUAAACCUAGUGACCGUUAGUGAUUUUCGGUGGGACUGACAUGCAACUCGGUGAGACCGAUUCGGUUAGGGUUAGGGCAUAACGUAAUCUCGGUAAGACCAAUUACACAAACUCGGUAAGACAUAUUUUGGUAAUAAGCUUUCUAGAGAGUUGGUCAGGUAAACUCAGUGGGACCGAUUUGCUCUUUUCGGUGGGACCGAAAUGUUACAAAAGGGAAACAGAGAGUUUACAUUGCAAUCUCAUCUCGGUGAGACCGAGACCCCUAUCAGUAGGACCGAUUUGCUUAGGGUUUGUGGCAGUGGCUAUGACAUUUGGAAUCGGUGGCGCCGGAUUGGAAGAAUCGGUGUGACCAAUUUUUGCUUUGGGUUUAGGUCAUUUGUGGAUGUGGGAAAGUAGCUGAGGGUUUUGGAGCAUAUCGGAAAGCACAUGAAGCAAGAGGCUCAUUAAGCAACACUUCAUCCCUCCUUGAUAGUAUUGGCUUUUCCUAUAGACUCAAUGUGAUCUUGGAUCACUAAAAUAUAAAAUGAAGAGUCUUGAGCCUUUGAGCUUGAGCCAAUCCUUUGUCCUUAGUAUUUUGAGGGGUCCACUUUCAUCAUCCAUGCCAUGCCAUUCAUUGAGCUUUCCUGAAAUAAUAGUCUUGGAAUAGCAUUAGCUCAAUGAGCUAUAUGUUGUUAUGAAUUACCAAAACCACCUAGGGAUAGUUGCACUUUCAAUCUCCCCCUUUUUGGUACUUUCAAUCUCCCCCUUUUUGGUAAUUGAUGACAACAUAUAGAUCAAAGCUUCGACAAAAGAUAAUAAGAAUAAAAACAUCGUCGCUUUGAGAAGUAUGUGAUAAGCAAGAGCUCCCCCUAAAUUUGUGCAUAGUUUGAAAUUUGCUUUGGACUGCAAAUGCACAAGGAAUUAGGCUCAUGGGUUACUCUUCCAUGUCACAUACAUCUUGGUGGAGCGCUCAAAAUGAUAAGUAUUGAAUACAUGCACUCAUCACCAAGCAAAGUGAAUGAUCACAUAAGAUAGAUAGGAUAAUAUCAUCAAACAUGCAUAAGUGUAGCUUACGAUCAAACACAUGAUCAUCAAUGUCUCACAAGCAUAGUAUCUCAACUAAUCAAAUAGCAAACAAGUUUAAACCAACAAAGCAAGAGAGAACAAGCAACACACUCUCUCUCUCUCUCUCGAAGCCUAUGAUCUAUACAUUUUUCUCCCCCUUUGGCAACAAGUUACCAAAAAGUUCAUAGGAAAUGCAUAGUGCUAGAUCGACUCUCACGCUUGAUCUUCAGUUGGUGGUGUAGAGAUGGCUCCUUGGACGAAGGCUUCAGUUGAUGUAGAGGGUGCUGGAGUUGAUGCUGAAGCUGGUUGCACUGGAGCUGAAGGGGCAGUAGCUGGUGCUGAAGAUGUUGCUCUAGUGUCUGGCAUUGGCACAACAUCUGACCUCUGAGCUCUAGGCACUCUGGCAAAGACAUUUGUGGUUGUCUUGCCGUUCCUCUCCUGCAUGUCAUCCUGCAGUUGCUCCACAACUGACUGAAUCUCAGUUACUUUGACAUCUAGAUCAUAGAAUUUUUGUUCCAUGAUUCUUUCCAAGCUCUCCUGGUUUUGAGUUAAGGUGGCCAACCCCUUCUCAAUCCUCAGUGAUGAUGCUAUCAAGUAACCAAGCUGCUCCUGCUUAUUUUUCAAGAAAUACUCAGAUGCCUCCUCUUGAGUUGGCAUCCUGGCAGCCUUCUCCUUCCUUGCCUUCUCCCUCUUCUCUUGAGCUUGAACUGAUGACAGAUCAUCCUCAUUCAUGACAACCUCAUUGUCUUCAAAGUCUGGAUAGAGUGGAAAAUGUUCCCUAUCCAAUAGAUAUUUGCCAGUUCCCAUCUUUGAGUUGAUCAAUUCCUGAAUCUGAGGGGCAUAUCCACAACUCCUCUUAUGAUCUGCUGCAGUCCUCUUAAUGGUUUCAACUAUAAGGCUCAUAACUUUGAAUUUCUGUGGCACAUCAAAUAAAUGCAACAUAUUGAUGGCAUGCCCUCUGAUCAUGUUGUGGUCACCUGACUUGGGAAACAAAGUGAGCCUCAGAAUCCAAUUGAUAGUAGGCAGCCUUGACAACAGAAAAUGGGCUGAUCCAAAAGAGAAAGUCUCUAGGGCUUUGUCUGGGAUCUCCUUGUACAUGUGUGCCAUGGUAUUGUGUCCCAUUUUCUUCUUGGCAUAUACAUCCAGAUCAUCAUCAUUUUCCUUUGGGGCAUUUAUCAGUUUUGCCCAUUCUUCAAUAGUGGAUUGGUACCUUGUACCUUCAGACAUCCAAACAAUUCUUCCAUCUAGGUAAAAAUGUGAUGUGGAGUAGAAUUGCAUGAUAAGUUCAUCAUUCCAGUUUGUGAGCUUUUGCCCAACAAAAUCUGCAACUCCACAAGCAACAAAGCUGUCUUGCACUCCAGGAUAGUGCUCUUCAUUCUCCUUCAUGUAGGUCCAGUCGACCCACCUCAUAUCACAAACUAUGGGCUUCUUGUCCAAUAAGAUUGUCUCAUAGAAGUCCUGAUGUUCCUUUGUAUGGAACCUGUAAUCAACAGCAGUUCUUCCCCUUGUGGCAUAUGGAUCUGCCAUCCUCCAUAGCCUCAAUCCUGAGUCUUUUCUGAUGUUCAUGUCCUCAGCCAUAGGAUGGGCAUCAUUGUGAUCUGGUAUCUUAGGCUUGAGCUUCCUUAGAACCUGUCCUUGUUCAUCUUCCUCCUCAACAACCUCAGGCAUUGGGGCGUUGUUCUUCUCAGCAGCUGGAAUACUCCUGGUAUUCCUCUUUGGUGCAGACUUGGCCUUGGGGGCAGCUUUGGGUGCUUCCUUGGGCUUAGAUGUUGCAGCCCCAGAUUUAAUAGCAUCACCCAUAAGCUUUGGUGCCUUUGGUUCUGGUGCAGUAAGCUCUUCCUCUUCCAUCAUGGAAGGUUGCCCAACAACUCUGGCCAUGGUCUUCUUGACCCUUUCUUUCCUUUGCCUGGUAGCAGCCUUAGGCAGGUUGCUAGGAGUGCUUCUGCUUCCUUCAUCUAAAGUGCUGGAGGGACUGUGCCCUCACUCAAGUGAAUCUGCUCUGCUGACCUGUUCUGACUGUCACUCUGGUCUGACAUGCUGCAAAAGCUGACUGCUAACCCUGUGAAGAGUUAUAGAUGAGAUAGAGUGGAUGAGCAUCACAAAAUGCAGAGAUUUUUCAAAAGAAUGAUUCAAAAAUUCAGUUUUAGUUUUCCACAGAAAGCAUUUCGGAUCAACCGAUUUUCAAACUCGGUGAUACUGAAGCAGUUUUUGGAACCUAAACUGAUGAUCUCGGUUGGACCGAGUCAUAGUUCGAUGGCACCGAGACUGCUAGGGUUUCACAGAAUCCUAAAAUCGGUCGCACCGAUUAGUAAUUUUUGGUCAGACCGAGAGUCACUAGUGCAAUGGCAUAUGCCAAAUCGGUGAGACCGAGUUUUUCAACUAGGUGGGUCCGAGAUGGUUUCGGCGGAAACCUAACCCUAAAAAUUUGAAUCUAAUCUACUCUACGGACUACUUUGGCUGGAUAGGAUUGUUUCAAUCGUGGCAAGAAUCAGUAAGAGUACAAUGUGCUAGGAAUCAGAUGUGAAUAGCACAAAGAUCGAGUCCAUAGCCUAGUGCGGCGAUGAACUCGCUACGGCGGCAACGGUGGGGUUGAAUUCCGUUGAUGGCGAUGGAGACCAGCGACAGGAGGCGGCUGGUGAUGAGGAGACGAUCCAGAGACCUUCGAUGGCAGAGCGAGCUAUUGCGCGGGCGAAGGGGUUCGGAGAAAUUUCCAAAAUUUUGCCCGUGUCUAUAUAUAGCCCGACCCUGUCGGUGUGACCGAGUGGAACAACUCGGUGGCACCUAGAUGCAUAACUGUGUUCAGUUAUAGCAACUCGGUGUGACCAAAAAGUUCAAAUCGGUUGCACCAAGAUUGAAAACUCAGAUCAACUUAAUGAUCUCGGUAGGACCGAAAUGGAGGAAUCAGUCAGACCGAGAAUCACAAAGAGGUUUUGGAAGUUUAAGUCUAUGACGAAUCGGGGACUCCGAGUGCUCCUCACACAGAGUGGUUCGAAACUGACUUGAUCAAAUUUUGUGAUGUAGCAUGAAUAGAGUUUGAGACGAGAAAAGCAUAGAUAGCUAGAGAGGGUUCUUAGGCAUCCUUGUCCAUCCACUUGGCCAAAAUAAGAAUGAACCAAACAAUCAAAACAACAAGUGGAUGUCCUUGAAUGAGUAAAAUAUGCACCAACAUGCUCACACAAUAAAAUGGCAAAUGAAAUAUGUGGCAAAGCAUGCACAACCAAUUCUAGCAUCUAUCAAACAAUUGGCGAUGACUAGGUCAUCUAUAUAUGAGUAUAUUGACUUAGGAGUCAAAUGAGAACAUUUGAUCAUAGGUCAUACUCAUCGUUUAAGCUCAAGUGGGGUUGCCACUUUUACAUAAUGCAUUGUUGUGUUCACACCAUUAGAGUUGCUUUAACUCAAUUCUUAGAGUAAAGCUCCCCCUAGAUGUGAGAUCCCCCCUUAGAGGGAUGAACUAACAUUGGGUUUUGUCGAUGAUGACUUCAUGUAGGUGUUGAAGAUGUGGAUGCUCAAUGUUGAAGUAGAUCAUUUGGAGCAAUCCUUUGGAGUGAGUUGCACUUUCAGCUUGCCUACAUGGAUUAGUCCCACAAGGAACAAACAAGAAUAUCCAUAGACAUAGAGUGAUGCACACACAAGAUGAUGUCCAUGAAACCAUUAGGUUACCUUGUCCCUUGCCUUACCAACAUGAGGGUUUGUGACUCCUUGAACUAGUGCAAGAUGUGGAAGUUGACUGCACUUGUCCUUGCCAUAAAGAUAUGAGUGAAGAAUGUUGGUGGAGUCACCCUCAAGAACUCUCUAGUUCUUCUUCUUCGGGAUCCACAUCAUCUUGAUGGGAAUCCUUGGAGUUGUAGUUGUACUUGAUGAAGUAGAACUUGACGUAGUCUUGGGAAUCCAAUUGACCGAGACCUUAGGUGCUUCUUCAAAUGCAUCAAUCUCUUCUUGAAGCUUAUCCUUGCCUUUGUUCUUGUGGUCUUGUGGAGGAAGAUCAUCUUGAGCUUGUGUUCCCUUGAAGGAAGUAGGAUCAUACUUCUCUUGUUGAGGAACAAACUUCGUCUUGGGGUAUUGAUCUUCUUCCCACUCAACUCCAUUGGCAUUGAACUUUCGUUCAAAACCAACACCUUGAUUCUUCCGGUGUCUUCCUUGCUUGCGUACAAUUUCCUCGAAUUGCUUACUCCCGGCAAGGCUCUUGUAAACACCUUUCUCUAUAAUUCCCUUCAAUAAGCUAUUUUCUUGCUCAAGUGUAACUUGGCUAAGAGAAUCAUUAGUGGAAUCAAGAGAACUACUAGAAGCAACAAUAGUGGAUUUAACAUUAUUAUUGUUACUACUAGAGGAAGAAUCUUUCUUGUACUUGUUACCAGACUUGACUUGAGGCAUGUAAGUAGAUAAGAGUAAACGCUUGGCAAUGUAAGAAGAACUUUUCUUACGGAGAUCAUCAUUGAUUGCCUUUAAGAACUCAUGCUCUUGCUCAAGAUUCAGCUUUUCAAAGCGUAACUUCUCAUGAGCCCUUAAAAGUUCUCGAUGAUCUUCGAAGAUAGUUUCAUGAGCCAACUUUAGAGUGUUUAGUUCUUUAGUUAGAAGCUCAAUUUUCUCCUUAUCAUUGUCAUUCGUUUGAUUAGCAUGAUUAAUUGACGUUUCAUCAUAGUAUUCAUCACUAGAGUUGUCAAUAAGUAAAUCAUCAUCCACAAGCAAGUCAUCUUCAUCACUAUUGAAAUCAACAUACUCAGGAUGUGUUACCUUUGGACCUUUGGCCAUGAAGCAUCUUCCAAUUCCUUCAUUUGGUGAAUCAAAUAUGUCGUAGGAGUUGGUUGACACAAGUGCUAGACCGGCAACACCUUCAUCUUGAGUAUGUUCAGAGUCGGAGUGAUAGCUUCUCUCGGAGUGAUUGUCGGAGUCGGAGCCGGAUACCCAUUCACCAACAUGAGCUUGAUGUCUGUAUAUCUCUUUGAUGACUUGUCCUUCCUUUCCGAAUCCUUGCUUCUCCGUGAGGGUCUUCGUUCAUAACGAUCAUCUCUACUCCUCCUCUCUCUUGGCGGUGAUUCUUCUCUUUUGCUUCUUCUUUUUGGAGAGUCUUCUCUUCUUUUGUAGGGUGCCGUACACUCAUUGGAGUAGUGUCCAGGCCUCCCACAAUUGUAGCAAUUGCGCUCUCGACUAGAAGAUCGUUUGUCAUGAUAAGACCUUGACUUGGAGCUUCUUUCUUUGCUUCUACUCUUGUAGAAUUUGUUGAAGUUCUUCACCAUUAAGCUCAAUUCUUCAUUGAAGGUUUGUUUCUCACUUGAUGAUGUGGGGGCUUCACUUGAGGCUUUGUAAGCACCACUUGACUUGUUGUGAAGUUCCUCCUUAUCCUUGAGUGACAUCUCAUGAGCAACAAUUCUUCCAAUGACUUCCGUUGGCUUGAGAUUUUUGUAGUUUGGCAUCAUUUGGAUCAAUGUGCACACGGUAUCAUACUUUCCAUCCAAUGCCCUUAGGAUCUUCUUGAGGAUGAGUCUUUCGAUCAUCUCUUCACUCCCUAAGCCGGCAAUCUCAUUUGUGAUAAGUGCAAGCCUAGAGUACAUUUCAGCGACACCUUCACCAUCCUUCAUUUUGAACUUAUCAAGCUGACUUUGGAGCACAUCCAACUUGGAUUCCUUGACAGAUUCGGUACCUUCGUGCAUAUCAAUCAAAGUAUUCCAAAUUUCCUUUGCAUUCUCAAGACGGCUGAUUUUGUUGAAUUCUUCGGGGCACAAUCUAUUGAAGAUGAUAUCACAAGCUUGAGCGUUGUAUUGCAGCAUCUUCAAUUCUUCCGCAUUCGCUUCACGGUUCGGUUCUCUCCCAUCAAAGAAUUCACCUUGCAAGCCAAUACAAAUAAUUGCCCAAAUAGCGGGGUUAUGUCCGAGAAUAUGCAUUUUCAUCUUUUGCUUCCAACUAGCAAAAUUAUUACCAUCAAAGUAAGGACCUCUAUGGUGAUAAUUUCCCUCGCUAGACGCCAUACUCUCCUAGGUUGUGAAACCAAGGCUAUGACCACCAAAAGCUAUGGAAAUGAAAGCAAAGGAAGACCAAAGCUCUGAUACCACUUGUAGGACCUUGAAGUAUGUCUAGAGGAGGGGUGAUUAGACUACUUGACCAAUUAAAAACUUAACCUUUUCCCAAGUUUAGAGUUUGGCAGAUUUUAGCUAUCUUAGGACAAAUCAAGCAAUCAUCACACAAUUCAAGCAAGCAUGCAAAGAGUAUAUAGGCAGCGGAAUUAAAGCAUGCAACUUGCAAGAAAGUAAAGGGAAGGGUUUGGAGGAUUCAAACGCAAUUGGAGACACGGAUGUUUUUGGCGUGGUUCCGAUAGGUGGUGCUAUCGUACAUCCACAUUGAUGGAGACUUCAACCCACGAAGGGUAAUAGUUGCGCAAGUCCACGGAGGGCUCCACCCACGGAGGGUCCACGAAGAAGCAACCUUGUCUAUCCCACCAUGGCCAUCGCCCACGAAGGACUUGCCUCACUAGCGGUAGAUCUUCACGAAGUAGGCGAUCUCCUUGCCCUUACAAACUCCUUGGUUCAACUCCACAAUCUUGUCGGAGGCUCCCAAGUGACACCUAGCCAAUCUAGGAGACACCACUCUCCAAGAAGUAACAAAUGGUGCAUUGAUGAUGAACUCCUUGCUCUUGUGCUUCAAAUGAUAGUCUCCCCAACACUCAACUCUCUCUCAUAGGAUUUGGAUCUGGUGGAAAGAGGAUUUGAGUGGAAAGCAACUUGGGAAGGCUAGAGAUCAAGAUUCAUAUGGUAGGAAUGGAAUAUCUUGGCCUCAACACAUGAGUAGGUGGUUCUCUCUCAGAAAUGGUAAGUUGGAAGUGUAGGUUUAGUCUGAUGGCUCUCUCCACGAAUGAAGAGGAGGUGGAGGGGUAUAUAUAGCCUCCACACAAAAUCUAACCGUUACACACAAUUUACCAAACUCGGUGGGACCGAUUCAACAGACUCAAUCGGACCGAUUUAGUAAACCUAGUGUCCGUUAGUGAUUAUCGGUGGGACUGACAUGCAACUCGGUGAGACCGAUUCGGUUAGGGUUAGGGCAUAAGGUAAUCUCGGUAAGACCGAUUACACAAACUCGAUAAGAGCAAUUUUGGUAAUAAGCUUUCUAGAGAGUUGGUCAGGUGAACUCGGUGGGACCGAUUUCCUCUUUUCGGUGAGACCGAAAUGUUACAAAAGGGAAACAGAGAGUUUACAUUGCAACCUCAUCUCGGUGAGACCGAGAUCCCUAUCGGUAGGACCGAUUUGCUUAGGGUUUGUGGCAGUGGCUAUGACAUUUGGAAUUGGUGGCGCCGGAUUGGAAGAAUCGGUGUGACCGAUUUUGGCUUUGGGUUUAGGUCAUUUGUGGAUGUGGGAAAGUAGCUGAGGGUUUUGGAGCAUAUCACAAAGCACAUGAAGCAAGAGGCUCAUUAAGCAACACCUCAUCCCUCCUUGAUAGUAUUGGCUUUUCCUAUAGACUCAAUGUGAUCUUGGAUCACUAAAAUAUAAAAUGAAGAGUCUUGAGCCUUUGAGCUUGAGCCAAUCCUUUGUCCUUAGUAUUUUGAGGGAUCCACUUUCAUCAUCCAUGCCAUGCCAUUCAUUGAGCUUUCCUGAAAUAAUAGUCUUGGAAUAGCAUUAGCUCAAUGAGCUAUAUGUUGUUAUGAAUUACCAAAACCACCUAGGGAUAGUUGCACUUUCACAUUCACUCUGUAGUCUUCAUGACCAUUAAUGACACCUGAAAGCCGGAGUUAUCAGUAACGCUCCUCUUUUAUGUACAUUCAACCCUCUGUAACAGAGGAUGGCUGGGGUCCUGGCGAACUCUAUAUAAGCCACCCCCUCCUCUGGGACAAGGGUUCGCACCCCCUGUAACAUCACACACAUAUAAUCCAAUCGACUGCCUCCGGGCACCGAGACGUAGGGCUUUUACUUCCACCGCGAAGGGCCUGAACUCGUAAACCUUAUGUGUACAACUUCAUCAUAGCUGAGAUCUUGCCUCUCCAUACCUACCCCCCUUUCUAUUGUCAGUCUUAGGACCACGACAGUUGGCGCCCAUUGUGGGGCAGGUGUCUUAGCGACUUGAUUGGUGAAGUUGCGAUUUUUCCGAUCCCCAUCAUCAUGGUUUCCGGCGGUGGAUUAGCUGAGGGCCGCGAGAUCCGUCUCGGCGCACUCGUUUUCAUCGCCGACGACUCCGCCUGGCUUCAGGAAGCUCCCCUUGACAUCGAGGCGCUCCCCGUCUGAGGGGCUACACACUUCCGCGCAUGCGUACGCGACGUCCUUCUGCGGCAACCGUCGACCUAGUAUCGGUCAGCUCCCAUGGUGUCUUCUCUCCCUGAUGUCCGCCGCUGCAAGCGAUCCAGUCAGUCACGGCUUCAAUGACGGGUGAAACAUGUGGUGGCUCGUCGUUCGGCCACGCAUCAAGUCGCAGCAAUCGAGCCCGAUGAAACUCUCUAUGGCCUGUUCGAUCUGUCGACUGGGUCCGUCGAGAGCGCAUUCGAGUGCGAUAGCAGCGACCCUGCGGCCGAAGUUUUAAUGGUCGACGGACCGCAUAGUCCGCCUGGCUUCCGCCGCGAUGAUGGUGGUAAUGGUGGUGGCGAUCUGCCACGCGUUCACGAGGAGUAUCGUCCCGAACCCCUCUCUUCGUAGUAGAGCGAAGAACUUCGUCGCUGCAACAUGGAUGCACUUCACACGCCAAUCAUUGGGGAAACCCCCAAGGCUCGGGCCUUGGAAGAGGUGCGCCUAGCCAAUUUGGUCGAGCGUACUCGACUGGAGAACCUUCAGGAUGCACUCGACGAGCGCGCUCGGGAGCGGAUCCCCAAGUUCAGUCGACGACAACUUUUUCCGCCUCCACCUAAGGUAUACUGCACUCUGAUUCAAAAUCUCACUGUUGCGGCCCGUAUAGCGGAGUCAAUUCAGCCUUCCCAGUCGAAAGCUGGAAGAGGUUUGAUGCAGAUCCGGGCCUUACUUCGGGCAGCAGGGUAACAGAACACAGCAGUGUCCCAGUCACGGGACAUGAUUCAUAGCAGGUCCGUCGUGGUGGAUAUAGUUCAGUCGGCCCAUAGCCUAAGAUCGCCUCUGCGGCAUGGAGGUCGUGGGCAUCAGUAGGAUCAGUACAGGAACCAUGGGCAAUACAAUCACCGACUCGGCCGUAACGUUGUCGUCGGCUGCCCAUGCCUCCUCCGAGGAGUGGGUCAUAUGUGCCUCGGCAAUACGAUGACAGACGCCUACAUAGUGGCGAGCGCAGAGUAUCGGUCGACCCAAGAGAGCCAGGCUUUGACGCGAGAUCUAUUCUCGUUCAAGGCCUAGUCGAUCGGAACAGAGCGCACAGAGAAGACCCUCACAGAGAUCGUCCGACUGGCAGCAGAGUUCACGUUUCGGGUCCAGAAUGUUUCAGUGAGCCAUCAGAGCAACAGUGAUUCUCCCAACUUCAGGUUGGCGACUGGAGUCAGCAAGUUCACUGGAGAGUCCAAGCCUGAAACUUGGCUUGAGGAUUACCGAGUGGCUGUGCAGAUUGGUGGCAGAAAUGAUGAAGUGGCCAUGAAACAUCUUCCUCUGAUGUUGGAAGGAUCAGCCAGAGCGUGGUUGACUCAGUUAGCGCCUGGCAGUAUAUUCAGUUGGGAGGAGCUUGCCCGAGUGUUUGUCAGAACUUUCAUGGGAACUUGCAAGCGGCCAGCACGAUUAAUAGAGUUGCAGCAUUGUGUACAUAAACCGAGUGAGACUCUAAGGGAUUACAUUCAGAGGUGGACCACUUUGCAUCACACGAUGGAGAAUGUAUUUGAGCACCAAGCAGUGUGCGCCUUCAAGGAAGGCGUUAAAUAUUGGGAGCUAGUCCUGAAGUUCGGUUGGACUGGAGAUAUGUCCCUGAGUCAGAUGAUGGAAAUAGUCACCCGGUACUCUAACGGUGAAGAAGAGGAUCGACUCCAUAGUGGAAAGGUAAAACCAGUCGGCCAGGAUGCCGACGGAGGUAAUUCCAAUCGGAAACAGAAACGUAAGGCGGGACCUGCAGCGCCUGGUGAAAUUGCAGCAGUAGUUCAAGGAAAGUUUAAAGGAAAACCUAAAGGGCCCUGGACCCCUAGAAAGGCAAAAGAUCAAGCGGGCAAUGAUGUGUUGGAUUUACCAUGUCAUAUUCAUACAAAGAAGAACAAAGAGGGCAAUCUAAUUUAUCCUAAGCACACCACUCGGCAAUGUCGACUCCUGAUCCAGCAAUUCCAAGAGAAUCAUCCUAGCGAGAAGGAAAAGGAGUCAGACAAGGACGAGGACGACGAGGAAGAUGAUGGUUAUCCUAAGGUUAAUUCCACCCUGGUGAUUUUUGUUGAUGUUGAGAGCAAAAGUCGAUUGAAAGUUAUCAACAGAGAAGUAAAUAUGGUUGCUCCGGCAACGACGACCACAUACCUGAAAUGGUCACAAACAACCAUCACAUUCGACCAGUCUGAUCACCCAGCACGUAUGGCCACCCUUGGGAGGCAAGCGUUGGUGGUCGACCCAGUGGUUGAAGGCACUCGUCUGACCAAAGAGCUUAUGGAUGGUGGUAGCCGCCUGAAUAUCCUUUAUGCUGAAACAUUGAAGGGGAUGGGCAUUCCGAUGUCCAAGCUUAGCAAAAGCAAUAUGAGUUUCCACGGCGUUAUCCCUAGAAAGAAAGCCGAAUCACUUGGCCAAUCGCCCUUGAUGUGGUUUUUGGUGAUUCCAAGAAUUAUCGCAAGGAGAAGUUGACAUUUGAAGUAGUGGACUUCCAGAGUGCUUAUCACGCUAUUUUGGGUCGGCCUGCUUAUGCACGUUUUAUGGCUCGACCAUGUUACGUGUACCUCAAACUGAAGAUGCCUGGCCACAGAGGAGUGAUCACAAUCACUAGUAAUCGGCAGAAGGCAGAAGAAUGCUUCCAGAAGGGUUCUAAAAUUGCCGAUGCACAAAUGGCAACAGUUGAACUCAAAGAAUAUCAGAAGAAUGCAGACCCGAGUGAUUUGCUCCGAGCCAAGAAGCCUGACAUAGAUUCUGCAUUUCAGUCGUCUGGAGAAACGAAGCCGAUUCAUAUUCACCCAACCAAUCCCGAUGCUGCAUUGACUCAUAUCUCAACAACACUCGACAACAAAUAGGAAGAAGCGCUCAUCCAAUUCCUUCAUGAGAACUGGGACAUCUUCGUAUGGAAACCUUCUGACAUGCCGGGUGUACCCAGGGGACUGGCUGAGCAUCAUUUGCGUGUCGAUCCAAAGGCAAAACCCGACAAAGAGCACCUUCGGUGGUCCACUGUGCAGAAGAGAAAGGCAAUUGGCGAGGAAGUGGCUCGGCUCCUAGCGGCGGAGUUCAUCCGAGAGAUCUACCACUCCGAGUGGCUUGCCAAUGUAGUCAUGGUCCCCAAGAAGGAUGAUUCACUUCGUAUGUGCAUCGAUUUCAAGCAUAUCAAUUGGGCCUGCCUGAAGGAUCAUUUCCCUCUCCCCCGCAUCGAUCAGAUUGUCGACUCGACUGCGGGGUGUGAGCGCUUGUCUUUUCUAGAUGCAUAUUUCGGGUAUCAUUAGAUCCGACUGUAUGGUCCCGAUGAAAUAAAAAUGGCUUUCAUCACCCCAUUCGGGUGCUUUUGCUAUAUCACCAUGCCAUUUGGUCUCAAAAAUGCUGGCGCCACAUUCAUGAGGAUGAUUCAGAAGUGCCUGCUCACUCAAAUCAGUCGAAAUGUGGAGGCAUAUAUGGAUGACAUUGUGGUUAAGUCGCGUAAAGGUUCCGACCUACUGACCGACCUCGUAGAAACCUUUGCCAACCUAAGAAGGUAUGAUAUCAAGCUUAAUCCGUCAAAGUGCACAUUCGGAGUCCUAGGUGGAAAGCUGCUCGGUUUCCUUGUUUCUGAAUGAGGGAUCGACGCGAACCCAGAGAAAGUCGGCGCCAUCCUCCGGAUGAAACGCCCUGUGCGUGUGCACAAUGUUUAGAAUCUUACUGGUUGUCUGGCCUCCUUGAGUCAAUUCAUUUCUCAUCUCGGUGAAAAGGCCUUACCUCUUUAUCGAUUGAUGAAGAAAUAUGAUAAAUUCGAGUGGACUGAUGAAGCUGACGCAGCGUUCGUAGAGCUCAAAGCCCUGCUUUCCACCCAGACGGUGCUUGCUGCACCAAUCAGCAAAGAACCUUUACUGCUUUACAUUGCAGCCACUGGACAAGUUGUCAGUACAGUCUCACGGUCGAGUGGGAGGAAAAAGGAAAAAUCUAUAAAGUUCAGCGCCCGGUAUAUUAUCUUUCUGAAGUUUUGACUCCAUCCAAGCAGAGAUAUCUGCAUUAUCAAAAGCUUAUUUAUGGAAUCUACAUGACCAUGAAGAAGGUUGCACACUAUUUCUCUAAUCACUCCAUUACAGUUGUCAGUGACGCCCCAUUAUCAGAAAUUCUAAACAAUAGAGAUGCAAUUGGUCGAGUGGCAAAAUGGGCGAUUGAACUCCUUCCAUUGGAUAUCAAGUUUGAGGCAAAGAAAGCUAUCAAAUCCCAAGCAAUUGCAAUUUCCUUGCCGAGUGGAUCGAGCAACAGCUGCCGACUCAAGUUCACUCGUUGCAUUGGACCAUGUUCUUUGAUGGCUCCAAGAUGUUGAAUGGUUUCGAUGCAGGGGUAGUAUUGGUAUCCCCCCGUGGAGACAAGAUCAGCUACGUUCUCCAGAUUCAUUUUGAUUCCUCCAACAAUGAAGCUGAAUAUGAAGUGCUUUUGUAUGGGUUGCGUAUGGACAUUUCACUCGGCGUCCGUUGCCUCAUGGUCUAUGGUGAUUCGGAUUUGGUGGCCAAUCAAGUUAUGAAAGAGUGGGAUGUCAGGAGUCCGGCUAUGACUGGUUAUUGCAACGCAGUAAGGAAGUUGGAAAAGAAGUUUGAGGGGUUAGAGCUUCACCAUAUACCCUGACUGAAAAACCAAGCUGCAGACGAAUUGGCAAAGAUAGGAUCCAAGAGAGAAACCAUUCCUAGCAAUGUGUCUUUGGAACAUAUUCACUCGCCUUCAGUUCAGGAAGAUCCUUUCAAUGAAGAGCCCCCACAGCCUAAGAGUGCCAUAGAUCCGACUGAAGUCGAAGUCCCAGCAGUGGUCGACUUGAUCAUGGAGGUUUUGGUCAUCACUCCCGACUGGACGGUGCCAUACAUUGCGUACAUUCUUAGGAAAGAACUUCUAGAGGAUGAAGAAGAGGCUCGACAGAUCGUCCGACGAUCCAAAGCCUUUACUAUGAUAAGAGGACAGUUGUUCAGAGAAAGUGUAACUAGAGUCAGCCAGAAGUGCAUCAUGCCAGAAGAAGGUCGAAUGAUCCUCAAUGAUAUUCACUCGGGGACCUGUGGUCACCAUGCGUCCUCUCGGACCAUCAUGGCCAAAGCAUACCGAGCCGGAUUUUACUGGCCACAUGCCAACGAGAUGGCGAAAGAAAUAGUAGAUAAAUGCGAAGGCUGUCAGUUUUACUCCAACAUGUCCCAUAAACCUGCGUCAGCCCUGAAGACUACUCCGCUCGUCUGGCCUUUUGUUGUCUGGGGGUUGGAUAUGGUUGGACCUUUAAGGACUGGAAGGAGUGGCUUUACCCAUGUGCUCGUUGCAGUCGACAAGUUCACUAAAUGGAUUGAAGCCAAGCCCAUCAAAAACCUUGAAGCGAGUACAAAUGUUAGUUUCAUCAGAGAAUUAACAUUUAGAUAUGGUGUUCCACACAGCAUCAUCACUGACAAUGGGUCAAACUUCGAUUCUGACGAGUUCAAAGCUUUUUGUGCUUCCCAAGGCAGUAGGGUCGACUAUGCUUCGGUCGCCCAUCCUCAGUCGAAUGGACAGGCUGAAAGAGCAAAUGGAUUGAUUCUCAAAGGACUAAAACCAAGAUUGAUGCGUGACCUCAAGCAUGCAGCAGGCGCCUGGGUCGAUGAACUUCCAUCGGUACUUUGGGGAUUGAGGACGACUCCUAAUCGGUCGACUGGUCGAACUCCCUUUUUCUUAGUCUAUGGAGCUGAAGCUGUACUCCUGAGUGAUUUGCUUCACAAUGCACCCCGAAUCGAACUUUUCUCAGAAGAUGAAGCAGAACAGGCUCGUCAAGAUGCAGUCGAUCUCCUAGAAGAGGAAAGAGAGAUGGCUUUGAUCCGGUCGACAAUUUAUCAGCAAGACCUGCGUCGAUUCCACGCCAGAAACAUGAGGGGUCGAGCAUUUCAGGAGGGAGACUUGGUCCUUCGGGUGGACCAGCAGAAACCACACAAACUCGCUCCUGCUUGGGAAGGCCCCUUCAUCGUCACCAAAGUGCUCCACAACGGAGCAUAGCAUCUUUACAACGUCAAGCACCAUAAAGAUGAGCCACACGCUUGGAAUGCGGAGCUGCUCCACCCCUUUUACACUUAAGCAUUCAGACUGUUAAGAUGUAAUAAGAGAUACCUUCUAGUUUGAUUAUAAAAGAUUUUACAGUCUCCUGAAUGAUUGUUGUUCCUUUCUUACAUGUUCUGAAUCCCCCAGUGGGUGACUUAGCUGCAAAUCCGUUUCGCCUAAGUUUAGAAAAAUCCUACCGAGUGGUGAGCAAGCCUCUCACUCGGGGGCUUAGCUGCGAAUCCGUUUUGCCUAAGUUUGGAAAAAUCCUACCGAGUGGUGAGCAAGCCUCUCACUCGGGGGCUUAGCUGCGAAUCCUUUUCGCCUAAGUUUAAAAAAUCCUACCGAGUGGUGAGCAAUCCUCUCACUCGGGGGCUUAGCUGCAGUCCAGUACUUGUCUAAGUUUGAAAAAUCCUACCGAGUGGUGAGCAACCCUCUCACUCGGAGGCUUAGUUGCAGUCCAGUACUUGAUUAAGUUUGAAAACUCCUAGCGAGUGGUGAGCAACCCUCUCACUCGGGGGCUUAGCUGCAGUCUAGNNNNNNNNNNNNNNNNNNNNNNNNNNNNNNNNNNNNNNNNNNNNNNNNNNNNNNNNNNNNNNNNNNNNNNNNNNNNNNNNNNNNNNNNNNNNNNNNNNNNNNNNNNNNNNNNNNNNNNNNNNNNNNNNNNNNNNNNNNNNNNNNNNNNNNNNNNNNNNNNNNNNNNNNNNNNNNNNNNNNNNNNNNNNNNNNNNNNNNNNNNNNNNNNNNNNNNNNNNNNNNNNNNNNNNNNNNNNNNNNNNNNNNNNNNNNNNNNNNNNNNNNNNNNNNNNNNNNNNNNNNNNNNNNNNNNNNNNNNNNNNNNNNNNNNNNNNNNNNNNNNNNNNNNNNNNNNNNNNNNNNNNNNNNNNNNNNNNNNNNNNNNNNNNNNNNNNNNNNNNNNNNNNNUUUGAAAAAUCCUACCGAGUGGUGAGCAACCCUCUCACUCAGAGGCUUAGCUGCAGUCCAGUACUCGCCUAAGUUUGAAAAAUCCUACCGAGUGGUGAGCAAGCCUCUCAUUCGGGGGCUUAGCUGCAGUCCAGUACUCGCCUAAAUUUGGAAAAUCCUACCGAGUGGUGAGCGACCCUCUCACUCGGGGGCUUAGCUAUAGACCAGUACUCGCCUAAGUUUGAAAAAUCCUACCGAGUGGUGAGCAAUCCUCUCACUCGGGGGCUUAGCUACAGUCCAGUACUCGCCUAAGAUUAAAAACUCAUUCCGAGUGAGAACCAAUCUUCCUGCUCGAAGCCUUAGCCAUACGCUCCAUCCUGAUCCGCAAGGACAACGAGGGGCAGGUCGAUUACGACCUCCUCCUCAGAGUUGCACCGUCAAGAAGAAGGACGAGAUUGAGCAUGUUUCCAAGGCGAACCACUUUCAGGAACAUUGAGACCAUUGCUGAAUGCCUUGCUGAUGAGCUGAUCAAUACUACCAAGGGCUCAUCCAACAACUGCUGCUGGGAUGAACCGCUUUCAGGGACGUCAAGACCAUUGCUGAAUGCCUCGAUGAUGAGCUGAUCAAUGCUGCCAAGGGCUCACCCAACAGCCACUCGGAGGCUUAGCUGCAGAACAAAAAUAUGUUCCGAGUGGUAGAAACAACUUAAGAAACAGAUAUUCAAAGAAAUCCAAAUUCGGAUAAACCUUGCAAAAGUUCUGAAUUGAAGCGAACAAGAGUACUCAGGCAUCAGGCCUGAAAAAGAUUAACGAUUACACGAUCACUCAGCAUUCCGAGGCAAAUAAGUGUGGCGCAUAAUGUGUUUAGUCACUCGUCAGGAGAGGGGCUGGCUGGAUCACAGAAACUAUCAAGGUCAAUGCUAUCCGCAAUGCGAGUGGCUGCUUCGAGGAAGGUGUCCAUGAAGGACUGGAAGGUGUGCUUCUUAGUGUUUGCAACCUUGAGGGCCGCCAGCUUGUCUUCUCUGGCGUCUUUGCAGUGCACUCGGACCAAUGAUAGGGAAACAUCAACGCCGCAGUGAGCAGAUGAUUUCUUCCAUUCCUGCACUCGGCCAGGGAUCUGAUUCAGUCGAGUCAUCAGCUACUCGAGAUCUUGUGAAAGUUCUGCCUGAGGCCAGAGUUCAGCAUCAACCCGAGUCAUCACCGCCUUCAGUCGAGCCAGAUAAGCAACUGCGUUGUCCAUGCGUGACUCCAACCGUAGCAAGCUCAUCGCAACGUCAUCCUUGACAGGACAGUUGAUGGGGUCGAGGCCCGUCUCAACUGUCUAGUCUCAGCCUCAAAGUCCUGGCAAAGUUCUACACAUUCAGGAAAAAUGGUGAGUCGACAGUAUGACAGGACAUUCCAAUCGACGUCAACCAAUCAGUCGGACGAUGAUAGCUUCAAGCUUCAGGACCAGCUUUGUAGCAAGUUGUCCCAGAUAGGACUCCAGCUCGCCCGUCUUGGCUUUGAGGCUUCCGACUUCAUUGGUAAGGUUCUCCUUGUCCUUCUUCAGUUGCUCAACCUCCUUCUUCAGCUUCGAGUUCUCCUCCUCCAGCUUGCCGAUCGAAGCCACCUUCUUGUCAGCAAGCGUUGUCUUAUCUCAUGCAUCCUUCUGAGCAGCAGCAAGAUCCGGAUCCAUCUUCUCCAGAGCUUCCUUCAUUUUCUCUAAAGAAACAACACUCAUCAGACGAGCUUGAAGCUGACAAUUUUCACUACGCACAUCUGUUCGUGUGAAGUCACUCGGUUCAAAGAGACUGAAAGAAAAAACACUGAAAGGCGCGAGCCACAAGAUGGACAAUUAUCGAUCAGUUACCUCCCAUAAUGGUGGUUUCUUCCUGAGCAGUCUUGAGGUUCUUCUUCCCCAGUUCAAGAUCAAGAUUGAGGCUGAUUUGGUUCUUGUUCAACUCGGAAAGUUGAGCCCCAAGAUCACAAGAUCUCUGCAGUCGACAAGAGAGAUAUAUCAGUCGACAGAAACAAAAGACAAUCACAGUUAAAGUUACUCUAAGACUACUACCGAAUCAAAGAUUCAACAGUAGUCUCGGGGACUACACCCAGUGGGUGCACUCAGCGUGCCCCCACUAGUUUGGUUCAACACUCACCAUGGUCUGCCCAGCGUGAGUUUAAAAAAAAGAGAGAGGGAAGAUUAUCAGACCCCAGCCGACUGCCAGCAGUCAACCGUGGUCUCGGGGAUUACACCCAGUGGGUGCACUCUGCGUGCCCCCACUAGUUUGGAAAAAAACACUCGACUCAACAUGAGUCAAGUGGUGUGAAAGAUCUCUUACAAUCUAAAGCAAGCGCACCCUAGUGGGUGAUUGGAUAUGAAACAUAGACCUAUGGUAGUAAUCAUGGACAGCGUUUGAAAGCUCAGUCGGGAGACAACUAACCUUAACAUUGGUAUGCAGAGCAGUGGUGGCAUUGUAGGCCACCUGACUGGCCUCAUGCAUCACCUUCACUUGCUCCAUGACGAGAGUCACCUGGCGAAGAUCCUCCCUGGCAGCACUUGGCGAAUCAUCUGGAGUUCGGUAUGCAGCAAAAAGUGAUGGUUCCAAAGAAGGGUCGGACGCGUGGAGUUGCACUGGAGCAGCAGGAGCCGGAGUAGUCGACCCCGACGGACGAUCAGUCGUCAACGGGUUGGCGAAUGUGACAUUGGUCCGAACCGGAUCUCCGGAUCGAUCAACCACCUCCUCAAGCACUGGCGUCGACUGAGGAGCUUGAACUUCAAGCCCCCUCCCGCUCGAGCCCUUGCCUCUCCUCCUCCUAUCCUUCAAAGGCACUUCUUCUUCUUCAUCGUUAGGAAGCACGACGAUGUCUCAUGGAGCUGCAGCGAAAAGAAAAACAACAGAAAUUCAACUGAUCGAAAAUUCAGUCGACAAAAUAAGUUUUAAUUAAACGGACUUACCAGCUUUGGAGGUGGCCGCAUCGUCGGUUUCCUCAUAUCCUAGGGCCUUGUCAAUGUCCAUGUCAGUCGCAGGAGAGGUUGGGCUGGAAAGACGCACGGUCCACUCAGUAACCAACAGAAAUGCCAAUCGGCAGAAAGAAACACAGAAAGAUAAAAUUCUCGCCCGGAGGCAACCGGAACAUCCAUCUUGAUCCUCGGCAGAGUCUUCCGAGUCUUCGGAGGCGCAACCUUGAGCUGCUUGUCCACCUUCUCAGUUGGCUCCGGAGUCGACGUCUGAGUCCGCUUCUGCGUUUGGACACUAGGAGCCACGGCCUUGCCCCGCUCGCCUGCUGGAUCGUGAUGCUGCUUGGAUUGGUGCUCCGAGCAUGGCAACAAGUCGACCUCCUCGUCGUCGUCUGCCUCGUCGCUCUCCUCUUUGUCGUCGCUGUCUAAAGACUGCCACUCGCCGCUCUCGUCCGUGUUGUCCUCCCCUUCAUGGUCAUGUCCCAGGGUUUGCUCGCCAUUGGGCAUGGAAUACAUCUCAGUAUAAACCUACAAAACAAGAAGUCGAGUGAAAUCCAGUCGGUACCAGAGACAGAUGCAAGAUACACAAGAAAUCAGUCGGAGGCAGAAGUUCGAACCUUGUCUGGUGGAUUGCUGUCGCUGAAGGGAGCGACCCUCCUGGCCCCCCUAGGGUUAUCCUUGUUGCCCGUGAUGCUCUUCAACCAUCCAGCCACCGUCUUGGCCGAGACUUCCUCCGGAUGAACCCGAGCGGUGUCAUUGGCACCAGAGUACAUCCACAUCGAGUGAUCCCGAGCCUGAAGCGGCCGGAUGCGUCGACUGAGAAACACCUCCAGCAAGUCCAUCCCGGUCACGCCCUGAUUAAUCAGCUGGACCACCCUCUCGACCAACAUAUUCGUCUCCAUCCUCUCUGCAACAGUCACUUUCAGCGAGGAAGGGGUUUGAACACGAUCGAAAGAGAAAGGGGGAAGUCCAGUCGACUGGCCUGGGGUGGGGACGUCCUGGCAGUAGAACCAGGUCGACUGCCAGCCCCUGACCGACUCAGGAAGGGUCAUGGAAGGGAAGGAGCUCCUCUUCCUCUUCUGGAUUCCCAAACCACCACACAUUUGGAUAACAUGUGUCUUCUCGUCACUCGAGUUUGCUUUUUUGACCGACUGAGAACGGAUGGUAAAGAUGUGUUUGAAGAGGCCCCAGUGCGGUCGACAGCCAAGGAAAUUCUCACACAUGGACACAAACGCCGCCGAGAUAGGUGAUGGUGUUGGGAGAAAAAUGGUGUAGUUGGGCUCCGAAGAAGUUCAGAAACCCCCGGAAAAAGUGGUGCGGCAGAAGCGAAAAACCACGGUCGACGUGGGUGGAGAGCAGUACACACUCACCCGGACGCGGAUGCGGCUCCGUCUCCCCCUCCGAUAGCCUCGCGGUGCCCUCGGCGAUCAGCCCGAGCUCAGCUAGCUCAUCCAGGUCCUCUUGCCGGAGCGAAGAUCGGAUCCAGUCGCCCUGGAUCCAACCCAUCGGCAACGCCGACCGCGACGAUGACCCUCGCUGGGUCUUCUUGCCCUUCGCCGGCCCUUUCACCUUCUUCGCUCGUUCCAGCGACGCCGUCUUGUCCUUCACCAUUGUGGCGGAGCGGCGGCAUCAAGAGCGGACGAGCUGCAUGCGGUGGAGAGGCAGAGGAGAAAGUCGGAGAUUGAGAGCACACAGUACAAUGCCUCGGCCUCGCCACCUUUUAAAGGCCCCCUUCCGAGUGCCUGACGCGCGGGCCCGGGCGAUCCUGUCAAAUCCCCACAGCAGUCGCGCGCCGGAUACGUGGCGAAAAAGGCGGCACAGAGAUCGAGGCUUUCCUACUUAUCCGUCCCGAUUUUCGCGGCACGCUCCGCCCCGCGCGCUUCCCCAAAAUUUCGAAUCCUGCCAAAUUCGGGAUACGUGAUAACCAAUCGCGCCGAAGAUCUUGCAACAGAAGACAACAAUCGAUAGAUGACACUACUAAUCUACUCGGCAACUUCUGAAUUGAUCGAGGCGACUGAAAUGAAGCUUAAGGUCCAACACGAACCUCCCGUUCGACGCAGGUCCUCGCGAAGCACGAAGGUUGAAGCAAACUCCCCUUCAAUCUUCUUUCCACUCGGUCCUCAAUCCAUUUGGGGGCUAAUGAUGAGGAUAUAGACCUAUGGUAGGGUCAUAGGCCUGACCUACUUACCCUACCCAAGGUCAUUACCCUAGAAGCAAAGAAACUCAAGAGAUAAUAGGGAGUACCCAAGGAAGACGUCAAGUGACAUCCACUCGACCAAUCAUAUCACUCGGGUGUCCCAACUUACCGAAGAUCACUCGACCAUACAAGAAACGACUCGACCUAUGAAGACCAGGAGUCAGAUGGAACUACAAUGGUCGGACAUUCACUCUGUAGUCUUCAUGAACAUUAAUGACACUUGAAAGCCGGCGUUAUCAGUAACGCUCCUCCUUUAUGUACAUUCAACCCUCUGUAACGGGGGAUGGCUGGGGUCCUGGCGAACUCUAUAUAAGCCACCCCCCUCCUCUGGGACAAGGGUUCGCACCCCCUGUAACAUCACACACACAUAAUCCAAUCGACUACCUCCGGGCACCGAGACGUAGGGCUUUUACUUCCACCAUGAAGGGCCUGAAUUCAUAAACCUUGUGUGUACAACUUCAUCAUAGCUGAGAUCUUGCCUCUCCAUACCUACCCCCCUUUCUACUGUCAGUCUUAGGACCACGACAAUGCCUACGGGUCCAUAGCUACUAGCUAGAUGGCUUCUUAUCUCUCUUUGAUCUUCAAUAUAAUGUUCUCCUCGAUGUUCUUGGAGUUCUAUUCGAUGUAAUCUUCUUUUGCGGUGUAUUUGUUGGGAUCCUAUGAAUUGUGGGUCUAUGAUCUGAAUAUUCAUGAGAAGUAAUUGAGUCUUUUCUAAACUUUAUUAUGCAUGAUUGUUAUAGCUUUGUAUUUCUCCCCGAUCUUUCCAUUUGGUUUGGCCAACUAGAUUGAUUUAUCUUCAGUGGGAGAGGUGCUUUGUGAUGGGUUCAAUCUAGCAGUGCUCUAUUCCAGUGAUAGGAAGGGACAAGACACGUAUUUGUAUUGUUUCCAUUAAGGAUAUAACGAUGGGGUUUAUUCAUAUUAGUUGAGUUUACUUUGUCUACAUCAUGCCAUCUUGCUUAAGGUCUUACUCAGUUUUUCAUGACUUAAUACUAUAGAUGCAUGCUAGACAGCGGUCGAUUGGUGGAGUAAUAGUUGUAGAUGCAGGCAGGAGUUGUUCUACUUGUCUCGGACGUCAUGCAUAUAUACAUGAUCAUUGCCUUUGAUACUGUCAUAAUUAUGUGCUUUUCUAUCAAUUGUCCAAUAGUACUUUGUUCACCCACCGUAUGUUAUGUGUUCGAUAGAGAAGCCUCUAGUGAAAAUUAUGGCCCCCGGGUCUACCUUUAUCAUAUUUCAAAAACCAAAUUACCUUUGCUGUAAUUUUUUAUCUUUUAUUUUGUUUUGCAAUUUAUCUAUCUACCAUUACAAGAUUUGAUAUUUGCAAGUAACUAGUUCAAGGGGAUUGAGAACCCUCUUGCCCGCGUUGGGUGCAAGUGUUUGCUUUUGCGUGUUUUCACGAGGCUUUGCUUGAUUCUCAUACUGGAUUGAUACAUUGGUUCUCACUGAGGGAAAUACUUAUCUCUACUGCUUUGCAUCUCCUCCCCUCUCCGGGGAAAAUCCCAAUGCAGCUCACAAGUAACAAGGUUAUGAAUGAAUCAUAGGCAGGUGUUCAAGAUCACUUCAUGAUCAACUAGUUGUGACCCCUUAUGCGUAGGAUUAUCUUAUCUUGUUUUAGUAUUCGUAAUACUAGUUGGUUUACAUUUCUUAGCUACUUGUUGCAACAUCACCACUUAACCAUACCCUACUCAUAACUGAUGUUAGUCUUAGUACUAUUGGUAAAGUUAUUGUUGAGUCUCAUUGACUUAGGAAUAGCAUAAGAAACCCAGAUGCACGGACGGGUAAAGUUGCUCUAAGGCGAGAGCAUGAACGUUCUACAUGGAGUUCUUUUCAUUCUUAUUUGACGGUGAUCAUUAGGAUGGGAUCCCAGUUGGCAACCUCAGACUAGCAGGGUGGACAUUGCUUUUUUCUCUUUCCUCUUCGGCAUAUUUGCUUCUUAUCCAUACUCGGAUCUGUGCCUUCUUCCGCUGCAACGAUUGAUGUAAUGUUGGGUCAUGUUGACCUGUGUUCGGUGAACUAUUUAUGUAUUGGCAAAUGUAUGCCAUAAUGUUAUCUCGUAUUAUCUCUUCUAUUCAUGAGUAGUCGUAUUUGUUGUGAUGUCCACCUUGUUACCAACAUAUGACCUCCCGUGUAUGUUUUGAAGUCAUAUGUUGGGGCAACCAAUAUGCGCUUCUAUAGUUAGCAAGGAUUGCAAAGUAUUCGAUGGAGCUAGGACUGCAUUUUGGGCGUUACACUGGAUAUUGCCAAAUGUGUGUGUGCGUGUGUGUGUGUGUGUGUGUGUGUGUGUGUGAGAGAGAGAGAGAGAUGUGAAGGCAUGAUGAAUGAAUAACAUGACAAUGUGACAACCUUGUUCUGCCAAAUCAUGCGUACUCGAAUGCCACGUGAGAAAAAUUCUCCACGUCUACCAUUCUUCAAACCCGAUUGAUGGUAAAGUGAUGUAUAACAUUUUAGGGGGUGUUAUGUGAGACUAAACUCAACGUACACACAUGCCACCUUACCACACAUGUCAUCUCAUCAACCCCACUACUUCUAUUUCUCUUAACAUACAUGGGAAAUGUUACUUAUAGUCAACAUGCACAUAUCCCGCUUCAUCAACCCCACUACUUUUAUUUCUCUCAACAUGCAUGAAAAUACUACUCCCACCGAUCCAUAUUAAUUGUAGCUGCUUUAGUACAAGUAAAUAGUUUACAACUAUAUAAUAAUAAUAAUCAAAUACAAUAAAUAUUAUGUAAUUUUAGUCUUCAUUGCAAUAUUCAAAUACCAUACAACUAAAUCUCAUCAAAAUAAUAUAUUGCACUUGCGACCAAUUCUCGCAACAAUGCCUGGAGUACCAUCUACUCACUCUGUCCCAUAAUAUAAGAGCGUUUUGACACUACACUAGUGUAAAUACGCUCUUAUAUUAUGUGACAGAGGGAAUAGUUUAUAAAAUAAAGUGAAUAAAACUAAUAGUCAAUGGGGUAUUGUCUAGUUUACCGGGGGGUGGGGGGCUGGCUGCGAGAGUGACUUUUUUCUAUAGAUUUCCGUGAUAUUUCUUGUGAAUGUGAUGUGGUCAUGCCUUCUUAAACUAUUAAUGUGUAACCGAAGACAAGUGGCGCCCAUGAGUAUCUCAUCUGAUGAGGAUACCAAGGGUUUUGUUAAAGGUUAUUUCUUGUAAAAAGCAUCCACCGGUGUUUCGUUUUAACCUCUCCCGUAUACAUGCAUCCAUAAAAAUCACUAGCAUAACGCUCACACAUUGUUGUGGAAGUAUGGCAUAAUUGAAGUUGUAUUAGAUAUAGUAUACAACAACCAAUGUAAUUGCAACAUUGCAGAGAAAAACUCAAGCAAGCAUGCAACAUUGCACAUGCCUAAUUGCGCGAUCAUAGAAGCAUCGUCAUGUACUUAUAAGAUACUCUCUAUUCAAGACAUGGGUGAGGUGGUCGCUUGCUAGUUUGAUUGAGUUGGGUGUAAUGACAAGUGUGUGGGUUGUGGAUCCUUAUCAGCAUUAUUUUUUAUUGCUUUGUUUAUUAUUUGUUUUCAAACAGGAGAGGUCUGGUUGAUUCUAGAUGGAUGAAGAAGAAUGGGAUGGAGUAGAGAGUGAACUCUUCCAAACCAGAGGGGUCUCGUGGGUUCUAGAUGGAUGAUGAAGGUUGAGUGAAGUGGGAAGUAAACUCUUCGAAGCCAAAGAGGUCUAGUGGUUCUAGAUGAAUGAGAUAGGUUGGAGUGGAGUGAGGAGUGAACUUACCACUACCAACAACAACUCCAGUUUAUAAGAUAGUAGAGAUAUGCUAUCAAAGUUUCUAUCGUCACUCCAACAUGUGACACGUUUCAUGUUUUCUUGGAUUCUCGCUAGGUUUUGCCCUGCCUACCAACAACACUUUUGUUGGCACAUAGACAGAUCCAAAGGGCACCGCCUUUCUAUCCGUUGAUCCUCUAGGACGUUCUAGAGGCCUCUUUGGAUCAUUGCACCAUGGUGUACACCUACCUUGUUGAUCAUGUGGGGUCUUCUAGAGUCCUCUUUGGCUCAUAGUAGCGUGAUGCCCACAUAUCCUUCGCCUCUAGGGCCUUCUGGAGGCCCCUAUGGCGCAUAGUGCUGCAAUGAACCUUUGAACGCCCGUGGUAGGCAAUGUUUGAAGCUGUUUGAAGCUUAUGGUUUGAGACCUCCUUGACAAAAUUAUAAAUUUUAAAUAUGAAAGCCUCAUGAAAUUUAUCAACUUGUUUGUUUCUACCAAACACGUUGAAAUCACGUGAUCUUGAAACACAUGCUAAUUGGGAUGAACUUUGGCAUGAUGCAAAUUUUGCGUGAAAUCCGCAACGCAAAGUUUAGAUAAAAUUCUUUUCGCAAAAAUCAUAAGAACAUAUUCUUACAAAAAGAUUGGUAACAAGUGUCAAGUUGAUAAACCCUGAAACAUAUAAGCUAGUCACGCCCGCUGGUUAAAUAGAGUUAUGCUCGAGUAAACCCACAAACAUGGCAAUAAUUCAAAAAAGACAAUAAUCUUUUACUCCAAUUUACGUGACCGCUAUUAAAACCCUACCGAACGGUUUUUUUUUGCAAGAAGCCAAACAAGAACAAAAUGAGCUGAAAAGCCGGUGUGAAUUUUCUCCUCACCAAGUAUUUUGGCAAGAAUCAAUGAGUUGCUAAAUGUAUAGAAUGGGUAUAAAAUGGGGAGCCGGAUCCCCUGACGUACGGCCACCUGACGUUGGACCACUGACGCGUGGGUCCGGGUUCAGCGCCGUACGUCAGAGGAGCUGCGUCCAUAAAAUGGAGGGUCAUUUUUAUCCAAAAUUGGUGUGGAAGCUAAUUAGAACACUGCCCCACAAAGAAAAACCACCACUAUAAAAAUGUGUACUACCGUGUGAAAGAGGAAAUCAAUUAAAACCUGCAGGAAAAAAAGAGAGGAAGUAGCGAGGAACGGCAGAUCUGAGGGGGGACGACCCGCCCGCCCCGAUUUCUCCUCCCCUGUUUAUACGGCCCUCCCAACCGGCUCCGGGCACCACCACCACCAAUUCGCAACCUCUCCUCCCCCGUUCUCCUCAUUGUCCUCGCGCCCCGCUCCGCUCCGACGGCCAACCGCUCCACACACCACUAGCCUGCCUGCCUGCCUGCCGCCAAGGUACAGCAGAUCACUCUCCUCCCCCCGCGCCUCCUCCUUGUACUUCUCGGCCCGCGAGUGAGAUGCGCGCGCCUGUUCAUCUCGUCUUGUGUUGUAUGUGCGCGCCGAGAUCUUGUGCCGUUGCGUGACCCUGAUCCGCGGCUCGCUGCUCGUUCGCUCCGGCGUCGGUGUGGUGAGAUCUGGGCUGCCGUCCGGCCCUUCUCCGCCGAUCGAACUCACCUCCGUGCCCAUUACUCGUAACCGUCCGCCGCUGUACCGUGCUGGCUUGGAGGGGAGAGAUCCGUCCAGUUUGGCGGGGGUUUUGCUUACUGAUGGAGUACUGACAGCACUUUAUUUUCCAGAAAUAUCCGGGACUCAGUUCUCGGUUGUAGUACUUGUAGAUCUUAGUACUGUACAUUAUGCGCCAUGUAACCGUGUUUUUCUGUUCCAAGUAUUUAUGACGCCUGGGUGCAUAAGGACACGCUGGAGCGGGUUAAUUCAGGGGCAAUUCUGCGUUGACGCCAAAUGGUUGAUUUGCGGCAAAUUAACAACGGCAGUUCUACCUAAUUAUUUAGUCAAUGUUUUUGAAAUUGUGACUAGAUGACUUGUAGAUAGUAGGUUCAUCUAUAUAUGUGGCCUCUCUUGCAAUGGUUUAAGUGGUACAACAUACAAUUUGGGGUCGACAGACGGUCGAUGCUCUCUCAUGUCUAUUUUUACAACUCAAGAUGAACGAUUGUAGUAACUUUGUUUACACUGGCUGUGUACUGUUUAGUACAUGGUAAAUUAAUGAGGAAAACAUGUUUCCUGAAUUUUGAUUGGGGAGGGAUAGGUUGUUCAUGCCAAUUUUGUUUAUGCAGUGAACUUUUGGUGUUUCAUGCUGUGCGUCCUUUCUGAAAUUUUCUCUGCAGUGCACCCUGCUGUUUCUUGUAUUUCUUACUGCUACAUGUGUGCGGAGUUCUUGCGGUGUAAUCCUGACAAUUUUGUUUCAUCAAACAGGCAAGAUGGUGAAGAUCUGCUGCCUUGGGGCUGGCUAUGUGGGUGGCCCAACAAUGGCGGUCAUUGCCCUCAAGUGUCCUGACAUUCAGGUGGUUGUGGUAGAUAUCACCAAGUCCCGGAUUGAUGCCUGGAACAGUGACACACUGCCAAUCUAUGAGCCUGGCCUUGAUGAAGUCGUGAAGCAGUGCCGUGGAAAGAACCUCUUCUUCAGCAAUGACAUUGAGAAGCAUGUUAGUGAAGCUGACAUCAUCUUUGUGUCGGUAAACACCCCAACCAAGACCCGUGGUCUUGGAGCUGGUAAGGCUGCUGAUCUCACUUACUGGGAAAGUGCAGCUCGCAUGAUUGCUGAUGUGGCCAAAUCAGACAAGAUCGUGGUGGAGAAGUCCACUGUUCCAGUCAAGACUGCUGAGGCAAUUGAGAAGAUCUUGACCCACAACAGCAAUGGCAUCAACUUCCAGAUCCUCUCCAACCCGGAGUUCCUUGCUGAGGGUACUGCUAUCCAAGACCUAUUUAACCCUGACCGUGUUCUUAUUGGAGGACGUGAGACCCCUGAAGGUCAGAAGGCUGUUCAGACGCUGAAGGCUGUGUAUGCGCAUUGGGUUCCUGAGGAUCAGAUUCUGACAACCAACUUAUGGUCUGCGGAGCUGUCGAAGCUUGCAGCCAAUGCGUUCUUGGCCCAGAGGAUCUCCUCUGUGAAUGCCAUGUCAGCCCUCUGCGAGGCCACUGGUGCAAAUGUUUCUGAGGUGUCCUAUGCCGUGGGCAAGGACUCUAGGAUUGGCCCAAAGUUUUUGAAUGCCAGUGUUGGAUUUGGAGGCUCUUGCUUCCAGAAGGAUAUCCUCAACCUGGUUUACAUCUGUGAGUGCAAUGGCCUCCCAGAGGUCGCCAACUACUGGAAGCAGGUGAUCAAGAUCAAUGACUACCAGAAGAGCCGGUUCGUGAACCGUGUUGUUUCCUCUAUGUUCAACACGGUUGCGAACAAGAAGAUUGCGGUGCUUGGUUUUGCAUUCAAGAAGGAUACUGGUGACACUAGGGAGACUCCAGCUAUUGAUGUCUGCAAGGGUCUGCUUGGUGACAAGGCUAAGAUCAGCAUUUAUGAUCCUCAGGUGACUGAAGACCAAAUCCAGCGUGACCUUGCGAUGAACAAAUUUGACUGGGACCACCCUGUUCAUCUCCAGCCAAUGAGCCCCACCACUACAAAGCAAGUCUCGGUUACCUGGGAUGCAUAUGAGGCGACCAAGGAUGCCCAUGGCAUCUGCAUCAUGACUGAGUGGGAUGAGUUCAAGACUCUGGACUACAAAAAGAUCUACAACAGCAUGCAGAAGCCCGCCUUUGUUUUUGAUGGCCGCAACGUUGUUGACUCUGAGAAGCUGAGGGAGAUUGGCUUCAUUGUCUACUCCAUUGGCAAGCCACUCGACGGUUGGCUCAAGGACAUGCCUGCUGUGGCUUAAAUAAACUCUGAUAAAGGGAGGAGAUCCGCCUCGGGUGAAUCCAUGAGCAGCUAUCGAUAGGGAUUCAGCUUGUUAUUUCUCUUUAUAGUCGCUGUUUAUCUUGUGCCAGAAAAUCAGAUGUCAUUUAUUUUUCUUCCUUGAGUGUUUCUUCGGGGUUUACAGUGUUAGAAUGGUAUAGUCACUGGGAUGUGCCAUUCCUUUGGUCCAUUGUCACAGCUUUGUAGCUAAUGUCUGUUGUUGCAUCUUUAUCAUGUUACUGGUGUUCAUCCUGUUGAUUAUACAUGUGGCUUCAGUUACUAAGAUUAUUUUAGCAAUCUACAUAUUCUGCAAUUCAGCAUUUCUUUGCUUGUGAAUAUAAUUUGUUGUGAAAUCUGCUUCUGAGAUGAGUGCAAUUGGGACAUGGCUGCUGCGUAAACUCGCUAUUUCUUCGCCAGGAAAAUCGUGUGGUUCCUUUAAGAAGGAAAAAAAAAACUCAUGGUCUCCUAUAUAUCACAGCAAUGCAGUUAAUUGAGCACAUAAUCUCUAUGCAGUUUAUAUUUUUGAGGCGUUUUUAUGCAUAUUUGUAUCACUCUUGCCCAAACUUUGGCUUGCUUGUGCUCUUUAGUGCUUGGGCUGUAGGUCACUGUGGUUAUUAGCUGACCAGGACUCACAUUAUUGACUCUGUCAGGUUUUGGUGUUUCUACUUGAGUUUGUUCCCUCAUGGAAGGUUGAUUCCACCAUGCUUUGUCGUAACAUAUUUGUGUUUUCGAGGGUGAAAGCUGACGGAGCUGAGAUUGAGAUUGAGAUACCAAAGGUCAAUCGGCAAGAUGCAUGCUUCAAGUAGUUAUUUUCACUGGUACUUGGUAGUAUCUGGGAACACUCCAGGUAAGGAUUUUGUAUUCAGUGAUCUUCUGACUCUGAUGAAUGAGCACAAUAUUUAAGGAAGAGAUCCAACAAAUGGCAGGGUCAGUUUCUUCCUGCAAUGUGUUCAGAUAUUUUUUCCUGGAACAAUGCUCUGAUAACUAAAUCGGUGCAGGGAACUCAAAGCCAUCUCCUUUGGUGUUUGCAUUCACCUGAAUUCUCAAAUUUAUCCCGGAUCUCUCGCAUUUUAAGGUGUGCAUUAUGGAGGCGCACUCGGGUGGAUGUGUCCGUGGCCGUAUGACAUACGUACAUGAUAAAUGCCAAAAUGUCGCAGAGGUGUCGGUGGACCUUGAUGAUGAAGAUGAUUCUGCCAAAGAGGUCGGUAUCCAGAUGACUCUUGAGUGAUCAGCUGGCUGGUUGUCCCAUCGAUAAUGAGGUACACGUUUGCUUUGCGCAAUCAGCACAUCUCGUUUUCAGGCCUUUGUCCAGAAUAUUACAGUACAAUGCAUUAUUUUUGUUUCAGUCUUUUAUUUUUUCCUGGAUUCCAGUUUCAUUGGUAUGCUGUGUGCAGACUGUGAGGUUUUUGUGUUCCUACUUGAGUUAUUAUGAUUGUGGCGUGUCGUCCAUUCAUUCAAGGUUGAUUUACCACACAUUGUCUCACACUUUUGUUUGUUUCAUUUAUAUGGCAAGUGAGGCGAGAGGUUGAUAAGGCUGUGAUUGAGAAACCAGAGGUCAAUCCAUGAUAACAUCUAUGCUUGAAGUAGUUAUUAUAACUGGAAAUAUGGCAUCUGGGAACAGACACUCACUCAGGUAAGCAGACAGUAGUGUUCAGUAACCUCCCUUCUGAAUUCACUUGGGAAAAACAAACCUCACUUCAGGUUGAAAGGUUGCGGAUUGCUCCUGAGAAACGAUCCUGGGUUGGCGCAUGGGAACUGAAAACCAACGGAUUCAAAUCUUGGUGCUCGUGUUUACCUGAAUCUACCUCGGAUCCUUUGCUAGUAGGGGACAUACUCAUGUGGUGUGCCUGAGGCGUUAUACAUGCCAAGAUUCCACCAAGUUAUCGGUGAAUGAUUGGUACGGAAAUCUGCCUUGAUGAUGAUUCGACCAAGAGGCUGGCUGUUAAUAAGCAAUCGAUGGCCAGGUAGCCGGUUGUUCCAUUAAAAAACGCGAAACAUGUUUGCUUGGCGACAUUGAGUUGUCAUUUCCACCGUUCCUCGUAAGCCCUUGUCCACGAUAUUCCAAACCAUCUAUAUUUUGUUUCCUUUGUUCUUGCUUGUGAAAUGGAUGUUUGAGCUGUCAAAUGUGAUAAAGGGAGAAGAUCCGCCUUGGGUGAAUCCAUGAGCAGCUAUUGAUUGGAUUCAGCUUGUUGUUUCUCUUUAUAGUUGCUAUUUAUCUUGUGCUAGAAAAUCAGAUGUCAAUUUUUUCUUCCUUGAGCAUUUCUUUGGGGUUUACGGUGUUAGAAUGGCAUGGUCACUGGGACGUGUCAUUCCUUUGCUCCAUUGUCACAGCUUUGUAGCUAGUGUCUGUUGUUGCAUCUUUAUCAUGUUAUGGUUAUACAUGUGGCUUCAGUUACUAACAUUAUUUUAGCAAUCUAC
rnacentral:lncRNA from 1 species